rnacentral:antisense_RNA from 1 species
UGAAGGGGCCAGAGUACCGGCUGCCCUGAAAUCAGAGCAGCAGCUAAAAAUGGAGCCUAGAGGCGAGAGGUAGUUGUAAUGACUACUGAUGCACGACUCUUCAGAGAAGGAGGAAUAGCUGCCAGGUCAGAUCCCUGACUGCUUUGCCCUCUUUUAGCCUGGGAGAUUUUAGGAGCAAAAUCACUGAGGAAAUGCAUUCAGUGCUUGGACAUCAUGGUGAGGCUCCUUGCCAAGGUCUAGAGUCAGAAGGCUAUCUGUAGCUUUCCUUUGCCAAAGGUCAGUUUCCCAGCAGGCCCUCAAACACUUCUGUGUGAGAGGGAAAAGGGAUGAAGAGGGGAUAAACCACAGGGCAAAGAAUUAGGAAGUGUUAGCAAAUGCUACCAUGUGGAACACUCAACUUUAUUUGCUUUAUUUAUAUAUUUAACAAUUCUAAAGUAUUUACUUCUUGCUUUGACAAAAAAUGAAAAAUAUAGGAGCACUGACUGACUCCUCUUUAGGAGAAAAGGGUUAUAUGUACAGCUAUGGAGAGUUACGGUUCCUCCUUUAACAAAGGAAAAUAUUAAUAAAAAAGUGCUUCAUCGAUCAAAAAAGAGCUAAGAGCUGCAAGCAUUUAUUCACACUGUACAUCAGACCCAAGAAACCCGUAUCAUAACCUCUUGGCACCUGUCACUAGGAAAUGCACAAUCUUCAAUUAGACCAACUUUUCCCCCACCUGCAUGACUAGAUGACACAGAAUGUGGAAAAGAACUACACCCUGUUUCACCACAUUCAAACUCUGUGUUGCCACUGGAAGUCAGAGACGUGCUCAGAUGCUCUGGGCUUUGCCUGGACUGAGAGCACCAGGGAAGCCUUCUGGGCCACGCCUUAACCACACCCAGGCAUGCACAGAAGCCACCUUCCUGAGACACAGCUUGCCCUUGGUCACGGAACUGCUACCAAGGGGAAGAGGAAUACAGGGCAGGGCCAGAGCUUAAGCGUUCCCUGACCUUACCCCUAGUCCUCACCGUGAUCCACCCUGUCACCAGUUAGCAGCUUUCAGCAGAGCCAAGCAUGGCCUCCCCAAGAGGGAGGGCAGGCACAAAACAUGGAUGCCAAGAUUACAAAGCACAAACCUAACUCUUCUCCAACCUUCCCCACACCUACCUCCACAAAUAUUCUUGAUUUAAGGCUGUUUUUGGACCAUACCAUCAAAGCUCACUGAGGGAAGGUGCCCUGAAUCUCCUCAAGGCCAUGUCACUUCUCUAAGGAACCCUACAGAGUCACCAAGUGGCCCUUCACUGCUGGCCAGCAGCCAGCCAAGUGCCUACUCAGACAGCCAGGAGCGGGGAAGGGGGACUGCUCAGCAGUUCUUCCUGUCCCAAGAAAAGAAGGAGAAAGGCUGAUUGUAUGGGACCUGCUCCCUUUUCCAGGGGCUUGUAACUCUAAAGGCUGAUUCUACCCCUUAAAGGGAAGAUCCAUGAUUGGUUUCGUUUGGGAACGGGGGAUUUCUGGAACCCUGAGUCUGGAUUUCCCUGUGCUGGCUGAGGAAGAGAUUGUUUAGGGGAUCAGGCCCCAAAAUGGGGACCCAGGUGUGUCUGGGCUCAGGGCAGGCUUUGGCCUUGACUGCAUAACUAUUUUGGCCAGUCUGUACUCAUGCCUGAGGGUGGGAAGUGCUACACAGCCUGGCCCAGGAAAGCAGCCCCCUGAAAGCAAAGGGAGCCCAAGACAAUCUGGGUCAAGUUAAAAAUGGGAUCCCAUGGGGGACAACAUGACGGCUACCCACUCCCAGCCCCUCGCCUGCCUCAAAGGAGCAUCCGCUUUCCUUUCCCAAAGAGGGGCCCUAAGGGGAUGCCAUUUACCGUGUGCCUCUCCCUCCAAACAUCAGCCUCAUUUAUCCAUCUGUGAGGGGACUAGCUCAGCUCCUUGCAGGAGGGAGAUGAUGCCCAGGGCAGUGCUCUUGGGGAAUAUGCUUCCAGCCUCUCCAGCAGCAAAGGGUUCCCAACCAGCUCUGAUGUGGCGGCGGCGUGAGGAAUGGUUGCAUGUUAGCACUGGCUUUCUUCCCUGCUCACAGUCUCAGAUCUCCAUACUCCUGGCUCUGACCACCAUCCUCCCACCCGGAAGAAACAAGCCAUCCCUCGGUGUCACCUCACAGCAGGCAGCUCGGCAGUUACAGCGGGCCUGGCAACCCCUGGUCUUCCAUCAAAAAAAAAAAAUUAAGACAACCAAGGGAGAGUUUCCUUUUUUGAAGGCAGAGGAGGAGGAUGGAAAAGGUAGGGAGGGAGUAGGGGGACAGGAAAGAAAAAUCAAUCUACAAUCCAGUGGUGCAUCCCAAAUUUCUGUCACUCUAUACAGGUGGUUCCACGCUCCCAUUCCAAAGUGCACGGGCCUCUCGGUCUGCCCAGGCUGAGUGGGCCUGUCAUAGGAACAGCAGCUUGGCCACUGCCCACCCAGGUCACUGAGCUUCAGUUGGAAGUGGCAGCAAUGGGCUUAUCCAGUUCAAGGUCAAUGCUGGAGCUCGUGGGAUGUAGGCUGCUAUAGCAAGACUUGCAUACUCGACUGGGUUCAAAGAGUUGCUGGCUGGGAACUGGAACCUUCUGGUUACAACAACUGGAGCAGAAUACGUUCCCACAAUUCCUUGAGAUGAGAAGAAACAGAACAAUGUUAGUUUUGGCCAGCAGGUAUGCGGAGGGAAACCAACUUCAAAAGACAAACUUUGCUGUGUGUAAUUUGCAUGUGCUGGAGCUCCUUGAGAUCAAAUCCUUUCAUCUCUCUAGCCCAGGAACAAGCUGGGUAGGGAGGGUGUCCCUACCUAGCAGAGUCACAUGUCAUUUUCACUUCGGGGCCAAGGAUUCUUGGCUGCCUCACCACUGACUCAAGCGUACCAGGUAUACAGAAGAAUGCUGCUCAAGAGAGAUCUGUAAGAAUACAUGGUCCUAACAAUGGGUUAGUCCUGAUCCAGGAAAACCCAGUGGCCACACCCACCUAGGCAAUGCCCUCUGUGUAGAUUGUGAUCACAGAGGCCAGGCUCCUCAAACGAGAGAAACAACUACCCAGCCUCACUGGGGAGUAAGGAGCCUUGCCCAACAGCCACUUCUCCAGAGGAUCAAAGGCAGCAACAUGGUAGACAGACUGCUGCCAUUUUGGACUGCUCUGCUGGCAGCAUGCAAAGCCAGGGACAAGCAGCCUGUGAUGCAUGCUCAGAGGGUGAAAGAGGAGAGGUGGGAGGACAAGAACAUAGAUGAACACACGUGCACACACACUCCCUUAUUAGAUAGGUGUCAGUCAAUUAUGGCUCACUCCCCCACCCAUGCAUCUCCAGGGAAAACCAGAGUUCUACCAGAAGGCCAGAAUGCACUCAGGCCCCAGGCCUCCCUCUCCUCCUCCCCUGAAAGCUGGGUUCUGAGGCAUCUGUGCAGCACAGGUCUGCACCCCCAGAUGGAUGCCCAUCAGAGCCAACAGGAAAGGGAAUUGGCAAAGAAUGAGUUUCUGCCCACCUUACAACUCUACGUUUGCUGGGCCCUGAGGUACAAAUCAAUCCCAAUGAGCCUAAGAACAAGAAACUCUAAGGAGCCUGACACAGCCCACCAAAGACUGGGGGAAGGCAGCUUCUGAGCCUUCUAACUUUUCAUUUAUGCUGUUCAGAAUGCAAACCCACUGCUGGAUUAAGGAUCACUUAGGCACAGGAGGAGAGAAGACUAAGACCAGUUGGGAACAAAAGAAUACUACAAAAGGAAAAGGUGAGACAUGGGGCAAUGGAAAGACAGAAAAGAAAAACACAAAAUUCAUCUUCUAGAAUGCUGUACUUCAUAACUAGUUCUAAAACGCGUGAGUCAGCAAAAACCUGUAGUUACACAGAAAAAUUUCUGAACAUCUACACUUCUUUAACAUUCCUGCUGGAGUUCAGCUCAAAAGCCUGACAUGAAUUUGAUGCUUUUCUUUCUUUUCUUUUCUUUUUUGAGAUGGAGUUUUGCUCUUAUUGCCCAGGCUGGAAUGCAAUGGUGCGAUCUUGGCUCACUGCAACCUCCGCCUCCCAGGUUCAAGAGAUUCUCCUGCCUCAGCCUCCCAAGGAGCUGGGAUUACAGGCGUGCACCACCAUGUCCAGCUAAUUUUUUAUUUUUAGUAAAGAUGGAGUUUCACAAUGUUGGUCGGGCUGGUCUUGAACUCCUGACCUCAGAUGAUCCGCCUUCCUUGGCCUCCCAAAGUGCUAGGAUUAUAGGCGUUAGCCACCGCACCUGGCUGAUGCUUUUCUAUCUGAUUUCUUUCAGAGGACCCUGAAAGACACUAAGUGGAAUCUUUCCUUAAAGUCUUCCAUGCUAAAACAAUUCUCUGGAAAGAUCACCUCUGUUCAGUCCUGGUCUCUUUUAAAAAAAAAAAAAAAAAAAAAAGAGGGAAAAAAGAAGCAGUGAUGCUGUUUGACCUGGAAAUUACUAGCAUUAUUCUGGCAUCUCAAUGAAUCACUGACCCAGAAUAAAUAGCUCUGAAAACCCAACUGGUUCCCCUACAAGACCAGAAGACAAGAAGCACUACUUCUUGUCACAAGCAAGAUGGCCUGGCUGACCUCUGAUCAGGAGGGGAGCACACGGCUGCAGCCUGACCCACCCUCGAUGGCCUCCCCUCAGCUGCUUUGAAUCCCCUCCUCAAGCCCACCUAUCUGCCUGUGCACCCAAGGCCCCAGGCUUCACCCUAGUGAGUGCAGAGAGGGGGAAACGAUAAGAGUUAGUGUGGAGAAGUUAUUGUAGAUGUGCAGACAUCACAGGCAGGUUGUUGCAAAUGCUCACCACGUUUGAUCAACACGGUCAGCGUCCCUGCAAGGAGGGGAGAAAGAGCUCAGAAGAGAAGCCAACCAAAGGUAUCUGGGCUUGGGGUGCAGGGUGGGGAGACACAUGUCCUAGAAGCAUCAUUACUAGGCAAAGAGACUGUUCCAUUUUCAAUCCAGGUUCACUCGUGUGGGUGAGCUAUGGCACGAUUCAGAUAAACUUCCUCUUCUAAGAACACUGAACAUAAACCAGACAGUCAACACCCUAGCUGGGGCAAAGCAUCCCUAGUAACUCACUACCCCAACCCAGAAGGAAAAAGAAGUCAGGAACCUUAAUGAUUGGAAGACUGUCCUCAGCUGUCUCUACUACUCCCCAAGCUACGGCUGCUCACCAAUGGCACAAGGGUAAACAGGUGUGGGGUCAGGGAGCAGGAAAGGAAUAGGAAUAGUUCCCUCCCCAUCGCAGGAAAACUGGUUUUGCUCAUAGUAGCCAUGUUGAAUGGGAAGAAAUGUUAUGCUGAGAAGAAAUGGUGGUUUUAGUGGUGGCUGUUGUUUCACCAAUCUGGGAAACAACAAAAUGCUACCAUUUGCACAUUUCAGAAUUUAAUAGUGAUUACUCUGAAUCUGAACAAAGAUGCCAAAUGCAGUUUUGCAAACACCAAUUUCAGAGGCACAGGAAGAUGAGACAAUGGCUCUGCCUCAGACAGAACACUGAGAUGCCCACAACCCUCUACUCUGCAGGCUCUGUGGGCCGACCCUCAGCCUCCACAUGCAGCCCACCCUACCACAGCCCCUCAAUGGUACCUGCAGUGGUGCUUCCUGCUGGCAAGCCAGAAGGCACUGUCACACGCAUAGCAGUGGGCGGCCAGGUGGUCAGGAAGCCAACGGGUCAUCUGCAAAACAGACGGGGCCAGGUUACUGACAGGAGAUGGGCCAUCCAGCUGGAACCAGCAGAGCCAUGCUGGGGGCAGCAAGAGUCACAAGGACCACAUCGGCUCCAGUGGCACCAGCCCAGCAGAUCUGAUGUCACCAGUACAAGAAAGGCGUCCAAAUCGUUUCCCUGGAGGGGACUCCUAUCUCCCCUGAGAUAAAGUAGCAGGCAGCAGCACCCUGGGUCACUGUUGAGAGCUGGCAAGGCUCCAGUUCAUAGAGGCAAUGAAGAGGGAGGGCCAGCUUGCUGAGUCUCCCUGGCUCAGAAAUCCUAGGCUUCAUGUGGGUUCCCAGGAGCUAAGGUGCCAGAGGCUCAGGGCUAGCUGUGCUGGGAGGUGCUUCCUUGGCCAGGGGUAUGGGGUGGGAAUGGGGGUGGAGAAGAACCACAAAACAGUUAAAUGGAUGGCACUCAGAGCAGGGGCUGAGCCUGUACCUCUGUGUCCUGUUUAUCCACCUGCUCCCAGCUGGCUUCAGAGAAAAUCUCUGUGCUGCAGCGAGACAAACAGUUCUGAUCCAGAUUGCUUUCCGAGUCGGGGAUUGAAGUCUGUUGGCAAACAAACACAGCUGAACAGAAUGAACCUGGUCUCCUCCCAAAAGAAGAAAAGGCCUGGUGAAGAAGGGAGCACUGAGGACUCUGGGUGGGGCCGAGUGCUAGGACUGCCGAAUCUGCAGAUGCAUUAGCCAUCAAGAACUGGGGUGAAGAAGUGCAGUGUGGGCCUGGGCUCAGCUGGGAGAGGGAUACACAGGUGUGUGCAGUGACUCUGGAGUAGAAAAACAGGCCUCAGGGUUCCAGAAAAGUGAGUGAGAGGGAAGUGACCAAAAUGGAAUGAGAAUUCUGUAUGUCAGCUGCUCCAGUGGGCCUGUCAAUCCAACCCUGCCUGCCACUUAGUUAAAGCUGAGUGCUUUCAGGAUGCCCUCCUUUUCUUAGAAGGACUCUCUGGGAACAUGAGAAACUAUCAUCAGCAUGAAGGAAAAGCCAAGUCACUCUGAACUGAAAGUCAUUGGAUGUGCCCGCCUUUAAUGUACGCUGACCACUUGAGAACCUCCCCUCUGGAACCCCCAUUUCCAGCCACAAACCCCCAUCAGAGCUAACUCCUCAACAGGGCUAGAAACCAGUCUCUUCUCUCCAUUUCUACCGGCAGCAUCUGCCACAGGGUGGGUAUAAAUAUUUGUUUAAAAAGAACUGAACCUUCAAAGCCAUAGCCCACGUCUGGAAGGACUAAUACUUUGUAGUUACUAAGGCAGAACAGGCACUAAAAUCUGACAGGAGUAACUUGGCAUUGCCCUACAGAUGUCAUUCUGCCCAUGGGUUCAAGCCCUUCUGAAGACUUAUGAUCUUGUGUCUGAGAGAUCUGAUCAACCAUGUAGUGCAUGCUAAGUCUCUUCCUCUCCAACGGCCUCAACAGGACAUCUGCAGAAAGUAAGCGAAGCAGAAAACAGGCAGGCUGCCAUCGCUGUCGUGGAGGCUUAUCUCUAGCCUCUUAACAGGGCUACUCUGGACCUUUCCAAUCCUUUAACAACCUGUACCAAUCACCAUGCACUGGGCACAAAGGGCACCCAGCUUCAGCGUGCCGUCUCCUUGGGCAGCUAUGGAGGAAUACCACAGCCUACUCACCACCUCAUCCCCAAAGUCUCCAUUAAAGUGUAGGGAGCUGGUCAGGUACUGGCUCUCCAGGCGACUCUUCAGCUCCUGGACUUGUUUCUUCAAAGUUUCUACUUCCUGCUGGUGGCCUGACUCAAUCUGACGCAGGCGCUGUUGGAUCGUGUCUGUGUACACUGACAUGCCAUCAUCGUCCAGGUGGCUGCGGGAAGGCUGGUCGGGGCUGCUGGUUGCAGAUGGCCUCCCUGAGUGGCUAUGCAGCCACUUGUGGUGCAAGUUCCUUGAGUGUAAGUGGGCAGAGCUGCAGCUCAUAGCAGACAGCUGACGGCUUAGUGAGUCCUUGCUCCUACCAGCCUCCCCAUUGGCGCAAUGCCCAUUGGGUGUGGGGUACAUCUGGAGGGUGCUAAGACCUGGGGGCUGCUCUGAGGCCCUGUUUUCAGUCUCUGGGGCACCAUUGCACACAAGCCCCUCUUUACAUUCGGCUAAAGGCAAGGCACAAGGGGAACGUGUCAGGCUGAGAGUGCUGCCAGGGGAAGUCCUAUGCACCACAGACCCCACUUGGGGCCUCUCAACCAGGCUUGUCUCUGAAGGGCUUGGUUCCAUGGUCUGGGGAAGCCUGUCCUUGCCACUAUUUACAAGGCAAGGUCUAUGAUGACCUUGGGGCCCACUUACUGACUUUACCUUAUCUUCCACUAACAUGUCUGUAGAACUGUCCACGUUUGGUCCUCUGGUCUCAAAAGGGACUUGGGAAGGUAGCAGAGAACAUGACUGUGAGGUACCAUAGCCAACUUUUGCAUCUACUGGGAUUGGAAGAACUGCUUCCUCCCUACCCUCUGCAAUCUCUUCUAUUCGAAACUGCUCCACAGGGACCUCCAGGGAAUCCUCUCCCCUGGGGGGAACCUGGAGAGAACUGAGGAGAACACUGAGCCCACCCUGCUGUUCAGAAAUACCCUGUGAGAACAGAGGCCAGCUCAUAUCCAGAUGGCUCCUCAGAGCAGCAUCACCCAGUUCUGGGUCUUGGUGAAGUCCAAUGUGCGAGGCCUCAGGUGUCUUCCUCCUGCUCUCCUUUUCUAAGAGAGGGUCCUCUUUACCCUUCUGUAUCUCAAUGCCUGCCCUGUGGGCAGGUUCCUCUACUCCACUCUCCUCUUUGGUGGCCUCCUGCAAGAUGUUCUCCAUCUGCCCCUCAGCUACUCCAGCUGCAACAGAAAGCUCGGCACCCCCCAGCACUCUGGUGGGCUUCCCUAGGCUGUCGGCAGAAAGGGGAUCCUCUCCAGGGCCAGCCAGGCUGCUCAGCUCUAGUGAGCGCCGGUGCUCCUGCCACUUCUCAUUCAGGCUGGGGUCGCUGCAGCGCCGGCUGGCCAGAGGCACUGUGUUGUCACAGGCUGUGGUCAGAUUGUCGUAUGAUCUAGUCUUUGGUAGCCUAAAGGAAAGGAAUUUGGGGGAAAUGAAAAUCUUGGAAACUGUUUGGAGGGAAGUAGGAGACAAUAGGUUUUAACAAGCAGUUGUUUCAUAACUGGGUCCAUUAUGGCUACUCAUGGAGCUGUAGCAUCUCUGGAGCCAGGCCCAGACUGCUGGAGCAGCAAAGCUCCGGAACAAGCCCUCCUAGUGUGCAGAUUUCCUUUCAAACUCCCUCAACCCCAUGCCCCAUACAUACAAAUGAGCUAACAGCAAAUGUUAUUUUCUUUUUUUUGAGACAGAGUCUCACUCUGUCGCCCAGGCUGGAGUGCAGUGGCGCCAUCUCAGCUCACUGCAACCUCUGCCUCCCAGGUUCAAGCGAUCCUGCCUCAGCCUCCUGAUUAGCUGGGAUUAUAGGUGUGUGCCACCACGCCCGGCUAGUUUUUUUGUAUUUUUAGUAGAGAUGGGUGUUUCAACAUUUUGGUCAGGCUGGUCUUGAACUCCUGACCUCAGGUGAUCUGCCCACCUUGGCCUCCCAAAGUGCUGGGAUUACAGGGGUCAGCCACUGCGCCCGGCCUGCAAAUGCUAUUUCCAAAAGACGUUCUUCAUGAUGCUGCUGUGUUUCUCAGUGGGUGGCAAAGUAGCACUGGUGUUUCUUGAUAUUACAGUAUUUUAAAUUAAUAUGUUAUCUAUCAGUCUGAAUUUAAUAAAGCUAAUUCUCAAGUGAAAAGCCAAAUUUUCUUUUUCUUUUUUUCCUGAGACAGGUCUUGCCCUGUCAUCCAGGCUGGAGUGCAAUGGAUCUUGGAUCACUGCAACCUCCACCUUCUAGGCUCAAGUGAUCCUCCUGCCUCAACCUCCCAAGUAGCUGGGACUACAGGUAUGUGCCACCACGCUUGGUUAGUUUUUGCAUUUUGGGUAGAAACGGGGUUUCACCACAUUGCCCAGGCUGGUCUGGAACUCCUGGGAUCAAGUGAUCCUCCCGCCUUGGCCUCCCAAAGUGCUGGGACUACAGGCAUGAGCUACCAAGCCCGGCCCCAAAGCAAAAUUUUCUGUCAUCUGACAGCAUCUGCCUUUUAAGCCUCAGAAGACAAAUCAUGGCAAAUAGGCAGGAGCACAGAGCGCUGGGGAAAACACAAACCAGGGGGUCACAGAAAAACUGGAGGAUUUGCUCUGUCACUGAGGAGCUGCUCAGUGUAUGCAAAACAACAUGAAGCAACAGGGCCCAACUCACUCCCAGAAACAAGGAUCUUACAGCCUUGUAGCUCAGAAAUCCCUGUAACUUCCCUGAAAAAACUGCAGAGAUCUAAGAUAUUGUGGAGCCAGAUAACAUCAUGAUCUCUGACCAUCCCUGGAAAUGUCCCAACACAGGAAUACACCCACACAGGCUGUCAGGCCUGUGGCAUCACCCUGGGCUCACCGGCUCAAGGGGGGAUCAUCAGGGCUGGUGCCUGGGGCUGGGUAUGGUGCACAGCUGUCGUCCACAGGGGUGGUUGGGGAUGGGCAAGGCAGGUACACUGCACUCCACAGCAUCAGGUUACGCACAUGGCACACAGGGUACAGCACCUGAGGAGGGGGGAGGACACAGGUUUAAAUAUGCCCCAGUAAGUCUUCUAGGAUGUCUGGAAAUGAGGAUCAAGAGCAAGCACCCAGCUGGAAUACCCAACAGGGCUGACAGGAUCUCCACAAAGAAGCAGCACCAAUGGAUACAGGUCUAUCCCAAGAGGACCAAUAUAGGACUAGACAUUUUAUAUGGCCAACAUUUUUCACCUAAGAGCCUCUUGAGAGCAUGAAAACAUAAAAUAUUUUUUUAGAUCCCUUUCUCAUUAUAGUUAUUUCUUAGGUCACCUUCAAUGUCUGACUUUCAUCAGCUUGAUUUGUUGGCUUUUACUGCCUAAGAAAGUGAGUCAUUCUGUUAGACAGUGAUUGUCCAUCCCGCUGGCACAAAAGCUUGGCUUCAAGAAACACUGUCAAAACCAUUUUAUAGGAUCAUUUAAAUUAAUCAUAUGAAAAGAAGGAAAUUUUUCUGCUGUAUUGUUACUUCCCCAGAAGGCACAUUGAAGGGGAGAGAAAAGCAGUCAGUUUAAAUCUUUUCUGUGAUUACUUAAAUGUAAUGAGAACCAUAUUAAUAGUCCAGGAAAUCAAUAUGAACUCUGAUUAGCCUCCUUUUGACUUCUUUAGGGUUUAAGAUGCAUUCUGACAAAGCUAAUAUUACUAUGAAACUGACACAUAGGUCUAUGUGCCUCCUUUUCUCUGCUUAACAGAAGGUAUUCAUUCCUCCGGGGAACAAAGUCUUAAAGGGCCUGCCAGCUCUUCAGAGAAUCAGACAGACACACAUACCAAUGUCAAACACAGUUUACUGUUCUGAGACAGAAGCUAUGGUGGGUAUCAUUGCUUAUUGACACUGGGAGGGUGCUGGGGACCUGGUGGCAGCACCUUCUGAGCUAUCAGUGCAUCAGGAAGCAACUUAAGUGCCUCUCCCAUAAGACAGAACAUGCUAGAAAUAAGUUAAGCUCUGGAGACAGUGCCAAAAAAGAUUCACGUCUAGGGUGGCAAAGUAGAGAUCUGUGUUAAACCAAACCACCCUCAGCAAGUAGUCAUCAGAAACAGAUCAGAGCACAAUCAGAAGCAGGCCUUCCUCAGGAUAGAAUCAUGGGGGGAAAAUGGAACCAGUCCAUCCAGAGACAGUAGAGAUGUCUUCACAAAAACAGUCACUACUCAAAAAGGUUCUCAUAUGUAACCAACCCCAAAUUCCUUCUGCUGAUCACAGUGGAAAGGCUGAAGGAUACAUACGGCUUCUGACUGAGAGGAAUACAGUAGGUUUUUGAAAGCCUUGUUGCCUGCCCGAAGAAGUGACCACACGGAACAUGUCCGUUCCUGAGUAUGCUUUUCCCCUCUCUCCUUGGCGUUGUUGCACAGGAAUGUUCCAAAGAGGCAGGAAUAGGUAUGCUGCACCAGUUUCACCUAUGGGAGUCCAAUGAAGCACAAAUUAAGCAAUCAGGCAUGCACACUCUGAUAAGUCAGCUCAGCUGAGCCACCUUAUCCUAACAUCCCUGAGAACACUUCAAUUUACUCUGUCAGGACGGGGAACCCAGUAAGCCAUUCAGUAGCCUCCUCCUCACACCACCAAUUCCAGGACCCAACAACCUGAGUCAGACAGGUUGUUGGUACCCCCAUUCCUCUUAGCUUCCCUGAAAAAUAGUCUUGAGAUUCUGAAUUAACAGCCACCCUCACAAGCGCCACAGCAUAUGAACUGGGUACAGGAGCACGUCAGUGUACAACUCAAGCCUGAGCUGACAGUAUACUUGUAAAACUACUUGUUCAUUCUACAAAUUAUUGAGCAUUUCACAUGGCCCAAACAUGACUAAGGUGCUGGGCAUGUAGCAAUGACCAGCAAAUUCUUCUGCCCUGAUGGAGCUUGCUCUAGUCAUAGCUGAAGAGUGACCAGUGCUAUGGAGAACAAGGCAGACUGAGAUGGACAGGACAUAUAUGAGGCAGUGCAGGAUGGCCUCACUGGUUGGGACCCAAUGGACAUGAAAGAGCAGGCAUGUGGGUAUCUGAGGGGAAGCACUCCAGGCAGAGGCAACCACAGGUGCAAUGGCUUUGAGGUAAGCACAUGCUUGCAAUUUCUGAGCUACAGCAAGGAGGCCAGUGUGACUAAAGCAGAUUGCACAAGAGGGAGAAUGGUAGGAAAUGAACCUAGAGAGGUAACCUCUAGGAAGGCCCUGGAGGCCAUUUUAAGACUUUGGCUUUUGUGUAAAAUGUAACUAGAGGUUUUUAAGCAAAGGAAUGACACAGCCUGCCUUGUGUUUUAGAAGAGACUCUCUAUGCUGGGAUAACUCAAUUGGGGCAAGAGAUGAUGGUGGCUUGAACCAGUGUGGUACCAGUAAAGGUGGCAAUAAAUAACCAGGUUUUAGAUAUAUUGUGAAAGCAGAGCUGCAGAAUCUGACUGAAUGUGGAAGAGGGAGGGAGGGAGGAGACUUGAGGAUGACCAAGAAUUUUGCCCCAAACAAAAGGAGGGAUGGAAAUGCCAUAUGGUGAGAGAGAAGACUUCUGGAAGAUCAAGUUUUAUAGUGAGGAAACACAGAAAUCAAGAAUUAAGUUUGGGACAGGCAUGGUGACUCCUGCCUGUAAUACCAGCAUUUUGGGAGGCCGGGGUGGGAGGAUAUUGUUUGAGCCCAGGUGUUUGAGACCUGCCUGGGCAACAAAGCAAGACCCCAUCUCUAAAAAAAAAAAAAAAAAAAAAUUAAAAACAUCAGCCAGGCACAGUGGUACGCACCUGCAGUCCUAGCUACUCAGGGAGCUAAGGCGAGAAGAUCACUUGACCCUGGGAGUUCAAGGCUGCAGUGAACUGUGUUUGCACCACUGUACUCCAGCCUGGGUGACAGAGUGAGAUGCUGUCUCCAAAAAGAAGUAUCAAGUUUUGAAUUAAGUCUGAAUCAACAUUAAGACAGCCAAGUGGAGAUACCUAGUAGUAAUAGACAGAUACGUGAGUCUGAAGUGGAGAGGUCUAAGCUGAAGGUGUAUAAAUGUGGGACUCAUCAGCAUAUAGAUGGCAAUUAAAGCCACUAGAAUGGAUGAAAUACUUGGAAGUGUAGAUGGAGAAGCAGCCUGGAGGCUGAGCAAUGGGGCACUCCAACAUUUAGAACUGGGGAGAGGAGGCUGGGUGUCGAAGCUUAUGCCUGUAAUUCUUUGGGCAACCAAGGCGAGAGAAUCACUUGCCAGGAGGUUUGAGACCAGCCUGGGCAACACAGCGAGACUCCAUGUCUAUUUACAAAAAAUUUUUAAAAACUAGCCAGGCAUGUUGGCAUGCGCCUGUGGUCCCAGCUACUGGGGAGGCUGAGGUGGGAGAAUCCCUUGAUCCCAGAAGUUUGAGGAUGCAGUGAGUUAUGAUCACACUGCUGCACUCCAGCUUGGGUGACACAGUAAGACACUAUCUCAAAAACAAAAACAAAACAAAACAAAAAACAAAACAAAAAAAAAAGGAACUGGAGGGAUUAAGGGGAAUCAGCAAAGGAGGUAGAAACAACCCAGUAAGAUAAAAGGAGAACUAAGAAUAAAGAAGUACUCUAGAAGUCAACUGCAAGGAAGUACUAGAAGUCAACUGAAGAAAGCAUUUCAAGGAAGGAGCGGUUAAACUGUGCCAAAUGGUAAUGAUGGAUCAAAGAGAUGAAGACUGAGAACUUCUCACUGGAUAGGUGGCAUGAAGGUCACUGGUCAUUUUAACAAGAGCAGCUUUGGUAAAGCAGUGGGGUGAAUGCCUGAUUGAAGUGGGUUUAAGAGAGAGUAGAAAGAGAAAUUUGAGAUAGCAAGGGUAGAAAACUUGAGGAGCUCUGCUGUAAAGGGGAACAACAGCAAUGGGAUGAUAGCUAGAGGUAAAUGCAGGACCAAGAAUGGGUUUUAAAAAGAUGAGAAACACUACACAUUUUUAAGCUGAAACCCAUGCUCUGGUAGAGAGGGAAACGCACGGAUGCAGAAGGCAGAGAGGAGAAAUGCUGGAGCCAGCCGGUGCAGCAGAUGAGAGGAGAUGAGAGCUGGUAUACAAAUGGACAGAGGGGCUGGAAGAGGGCAGGGAUAGUGCACCCUCCAUGUAAGGAGAGGGUGCAGAGAGUCUGAGAUAGUCAUGGGGGUCUGGUAGACAGACUGGAGGGAGCAUGGUCCAGACAUUCUGAUUGCUUCUAUUUCUAACAGCUAUUUAGGGUUUCUACCAUCCCUUUAAAAAAAACUAAAACAACACAAGGACUUCAUGCAAACCUGGUACACCUGGAUUUUCUCUUUUUGAAAAGUAAAUAUCAAAAUUAUCUACUAAAAAAAAAAAACAGGGAAAAAAUCACCUCUAUUAAAUUCUGAAGAGGCAGCACAGUUUCAUGUGAGAACUGGCCCACUAACAUUUGUACUGACCCUCCUUCAAAUUGAGAAAGUCCCCAAAAUGAAGAAACUCACAAGGAAUGCUUCAUUGAACUCAAAAGAGCAAGGAAAUUGCCUCUGAAGCUGAUGAACACAGUCAAGCCACUGCAGAAACACUGGGCAACGUUCAUUCAGAUCAUCUGAGUUCUCCCCAUGACCACACCGGUCAGCAAAUUUAUGGCCAAAAUCCAGCCACUCCAUUUCCACGAGGACCUGGAAACCCUGCAGGGAAGCAUCCAGGAGAGACCAUUUGUGCUAGACUAUCCAGACUGUGACAGUCCUAAGCCUGGUGUCACAGAAAGCAAUCCCCUCUAACAGCCUCCCAGAAAGUCCACCUGGCCUUGCCCUUUGGUGGAAGGCUCUAUCCCUGAUGAGGCACACACUUAGGGAAAUUUCCCAAUUCCCUGAACUCCAUUCCAUGAUUACUAAAAUGGUACUGACUGCGUUUAUCUAAGCCUUUCUUGAAUGUGUAUUUUUAGCCUCUUGUGUUCACUAUAUAAAAACCACACUUUUCCCCUAAAUUUCUCUUAACAUUUCUGCCUCUGGUGUUACAAAGUCAAGUUUGUAAAAUCCUUCUAUACCCCAAGUUUAAUUAAUAUUUGCAUAUAUUUUAGGGUACUUUAUGAUUUUUCUUUCAUCUUUAACCUAACAGAUGGUUAUUUCAGGUAGAGCUGCUUCUCCACAGAACACUCUGUGGUAAUAUCUAGCAUGCCAAGAUCCUUUUACAGACGCCUUAUUUUCCUGAGGUAGCUAAAAACUUUUACAAGUAGAUAGACUGUAAAGGAAAAUAUGUCUAUAUUCUCAAUACCUUGUUACCCAUAAUCUGCCCCAUUUUAAGAGGUGCAAGAACUGUGGGAGGAACCACCACAAUUUAGCUCAUGGCAUAAAGGAACAAUGAUCAAAACAGAAAUUUCACUUUCUUUAACCUAAUCACCACUCCCAAAACUGGUAUCACUCCUGAGAUGUUUCCCCUGCUCAUCCUGAAGUACCAACCCCUCCCAUUUGGAUGCACUCACCUCUAUGGUUCGGUAAUAAGGGUCCAGCAAGAGCUUAGCCAAUGCCACAAUCUGAGGGGUGCGGUCCCAGCCAUCCGAGCAGUGCACUAGCACCGGCCGCUGAUCCUGAUCCACAGCAUGCACUACCAGAAGCGCUGAUUUCAGAAGCACAGACAAGUGAUGGAGCCAUUUUGUGCUUUCAAGAGCUGACAGCCAACUAUAAAAACAGAGGAUUAGAAAAUGCUGAUUUUUAUGAUUUACUGCAUCAUGCUCAAUGAUUGUCAAAUGAAAAAGCAAUUUCCAAAGAUUUCUCUCUCCAAAUACAACACUGCCAAAACAAAAAAAUCUGUGUGUUUAUAAAGCAUGUCUUAGGAUGAGGCCCAAGCCCUACUAUACAAUAGAGAAGAGCCUUAGAAAUAGGGGCUACAAUUAACAGGACACCUUUUGUUCCAAAAUCUGUAUGGAUGAUUUCCCGGACAAAAUAUUUGACAUUUUUCAGUCCAUGGUAUAAGGAAAGUGGCUCUUUCUGGAGUCUUCUCCUGAAUAAAAAAUGUAGCCACUUCUGAGAUGUAAAACACAAGAUAUUUAUAUUUAAUGAUCAGCAACUACACCCAACAAGUUCUCAAAAAAAAAAAAAAGUAAAUAAAAACUCAUGAAUACAAAUAUAUCUAUGAGACAUAAGCUUGAUGCCGUAUACAAGAAUGGUACACACAACCCUGCCUAUGACCCAGACUGUUAACACUUACCACUGUUUAAUUCUUAAAUGUUUACUGACUAAAACAAGAUGAGCCCAAUCUGAUAAUUUAUACUUAUGCAAAUUAGUAUACCAAUGGCCACACAGUAUUGCUGGGCUCAACAUAGACUGGAUUCAGCAGGGAUCUAGGAAGAACCUUUUUUUGAAAGACCUUUAGGGGCUGGGUGCAGUGGCUCAUAUCUGUAAUCCCAGCACUUUCAGAGGCUGAGGUGGGCGGAUCACUUGAGGUCAGGAGUUCCAGAACAGCCUGGCCAACAUGGUAAAACCCCGUCUCUACUAAAAAUACAAAAAUUAGCUGGGCGUAGUGGCGCACGCCUGUAAUCCCAGCUACUCAGGAGGCUGAGGCAGGAGAAUCACUUGAACCCGGGAGGUGGAGGCUGCAGUGAGCUGAGAUUGGGCCACCACACUCCAGCAUGGAUGACACAGGGAGACUCCAUCUCACUUUAGGAGUAUCAGAUAGCAAUAGCUGCCCCUUGGGAGUAAUCACAAGCUAAUCACACUUGCUUUUUAAACUGUGUUGACAUUUUGUUUCUUGUGCUUUCCCUCACCCCUCCCAAUCCCUAAAAAAGUGUUGAUUUUUCCCAAAUGUGAUCAGAUUUGUAGUUAAGAUCACAAGUCAAGUCUUUCAAACACUGAGUCAGAGGAAGAAAUAAACAUUUCUGUCAGAGGGACUCUGGGAAGGCUAUAAAGGCCUACUAAACCCUGUGGAAUAAGUAUGAAAUUUUGGCACAGUCUAAGUAGGUGGCGGUCUUUCCAGGCAAACAGACAACAGAAUGCAGUGCAUAAGUACUGGUUGUAUAUGAAUUUGUUUAGACUACCAGCCAGACUGUGAUUCCUCAGAGGGCUAACACUAUGUCUCAGUCAUAACUGUACCCCCAGCACAGUGCCUAGCAUACAGUAGGGAGUCCCACUGUUUAAUGAAUUGUAAGUCUGUUAUGGGUAAAAAUCCAAUCUUAAGACUUUCUAUCUCCUAGCAGGUACCUGAGAAACAUUUUUUUCCUGAUGGAUCAAUUGUUUAUUUCAUUCCUCACACAUUCUUGAAAGGAACUAAAAGAUAAGGCUUAGGAGAACAAAUACUAAAUUAUCUCCUAGCACCUGAAGAAAUGGUAAACAAGAGAACCAGUGUGAGGUUCUUUUGAACCUAACUAAACUAUUAUUUAAUACCAGUUGUUGUUGUCUGUGACUAAUGAAGCUGUACUCCAAAAUCUGCCAGCCAAGGAGGGGCUGCUGAGAGACUCCCGAUUCCCUUGUCCUAUUCUCAACCUGCACUAGUAGCCUACCAUUCCCUCAUCCUCCACAGCCCCAAACACAGGCCAGGGGGCCUAAUUACAGCUGCCCAUCACUGCUACAGCUGCUUUUUAUCCAUGAGGGAGACUUCAGUGCAGCAUUAUGAUUUGCUGCCAAAUACAUAAAAGCAUUACCUUUAAUAAAAUCCCCAAGACAUUUAUGUGGACCAGGUGAGGGCUAAUUCUAUCUUUUUUGACUCUGAUAGCUCUUUAAGAAUUUUAAUAUAUGGAGGGUAUUAGAGAUCAUGUAGUGUUGAUUACAUCUCCUUCAUUUUAUAGACAGGAAAACUGAGAUCUACAGUAGUUAAACCCCUUGGCCAAGGUUACACAGUUCGCGGCCGAUCUCCUGGGUCCUUAGCAAGGCUCCUUCUACAUACCGCCCCCUAGGGAAGAAAGCGCUGCUAGCUGGGACCUGGAACUGUGUAACAAAUGCAAAUGGCUAAUCCCCAAAGGAGGCAGCAAACUCAAUUCUCCAGUCAGGCUUUCCCCAAAGGCACUGCUUCAUCCUCUGGGCUGAUGACAACUACAGUGAAUUUAAUCAUUUGCUACUGGCAGUCAAUGUAAGUGGUUUAGGCAGCAUCUGAUUUAAUAAAUCAAAUAAAGAACACAGUAAAACUUGAUGUGAUCAUGAGAUCUACUGAAUAGGACCCAGAGAAACAACUAUGGGCUCCAGCACAAAUACCAGAAAAAAGAAAAUUCUGUCUUCUCUGACACCUAUCUCUGGCUUCCUGAAAUAGUAAAACAGGAUUUUUAAAUACUUAUCUGUCCAUAUUUGUUUUACAGAGCAUUCUUCCUAAUUUAUCUUGUAUUCAAUCAGUACCCUUGGAGGGGUAUUAUUUCACCUUCCUCACUGCAAAUGCCAGCCAUUCAUAUUUAAUAAGCAAUAAGAAUCAUGACAAUGUUCUUAGUAAAUGAGAACAGUUUAGAAAUUGAAAGCAGACGUAAAAGGAACUGACUUAAUGGCAAGUUUAACCCCUUUAGAAUGUGAUGAAUAAAUUCUGACUUUUCAUGAUAAAACAUCCCAGUUCAUAACAGGUUAUGUAUCACUAUGGGACAUCAGAAACUGAAGAAUUAAAUUUCUUUGGGCUAAAAAUGAUGUGGAAGGGAAACGUCCCAGGACAAACAGUAAGGUAAUGCUUCUGUUUUGAUGCUGAGAUUUCUUCUGUGCUGCAGAUUUUAAAACCUUUCAAAUGGCUGUAUUUUCUCCCAACUCUUCCCCUGUGCUGCCACAUUUCAGACCCAGGAAGGAGAUACUUGCAGAGACUGGUCUGGUAACUGAAGGUUACCAAGAAACAGAAGGAAAGACUGCUACAAAUUAAUUUUUUUUUCCUUUUUUCCCCCCUUAGUUCAAGGAAAGAAGAAAACUUAUCAUUUAAGAGCGAUGCAAAAUGAAAGCCAAGGCCAAGGACUUACUUUCCCGGAUCUGGCAUCUGAGUGCACAGCAACCGCAGAGACUGAAAACUCCUCCGAAUAGAAUGAAUGUUUGCCAUCCCCAUAAACACAACUUCACAGUUUGGGUAAUACUCUGGAGAGAGUAACAAUAAAGAGAACACAAAUACGUUGAAUUUAAAGCCCACAUGGCCAAAUUUAAAAGCAAACUGGCUAUAAAACAAACCCACUGCAGCUUCUGAUUAAUGAAACUGAAAUGUUUUGAAAUGCUUAACUAUUAGCCCAAUCCUUUAUAAUAAGAGGAACACACUGAAUUUUAGCUAUCUUUUCAAAAAGGGUGAAAAGGGAAGGUUAGAUUUGUAAAGAAGAUACUGACAUAAAAUAAAAGCUAUUAUUUUUUAAAAGAAAGGCCUACUUCGAUCUCACUCUGGCUUUACUUCUUGGGCCUUAUCUAACUUGUGGCUUUGGAAUCUCUUAGAAAAUAACUCAGCAGAACAAUGCGUUCACACAUUCAAAUUUCACCUUGGUACAGCUGCUUUCAAUUUCCAGCUUAGACCACAUCUGAACAAAGAGCCUGGUGCCUCUGCCUGUGCCAGAGGCACUGAGGGGGGUCCCUCCUUGGGGAAAGCUAGCAUUCCAACAGUAAUGGUGUUACAGCUCAGGACAGAGGUACCUUACUAGGGUUCUGUAUUUACUGCUUCAAUUUUCACCCCAGGUUUUCUAAGGAGAGGCCCUUGAGGAGUCUGCUACAAGGCCAGUGAUGAGCAUACCCUCUGUCAAAGGCAACAAAAAGCUUUUAGAUGGCUGAGAAAUUGAGCCCACUAAAGCAGCAGCUUCCAAACAUGAACAGGCCUCAUUAUGGGGAAGAUCUGCUUUCCUUAUCACCUAAAAGUUGGCACAAGGAAGGAAGAUUAUGUGACUUCACUGCACCUCCUCCUCCAUUUCUCCUCAGAAAAGAACAUACAGUGUUAAGAAUCCAAAGAGAAGCUCUGGCACUCUCACGACAGGAUGGAUGAGGAAUAUGGCUUGCCACUUAUUUCAAAUUGAGAACUAAGUCUCGGUUGGGCAAGGGCUGCACUCACAAGGAGAAAGUAUGGGGAACAAAGCACCAUAUACCUCUCACCUGGGCAUUCGCAGCCUCCUCCUUUGGCUCGGUUUGCCACAGCAGCUGCAUAGGAGCGUGCAUCCAAGAUCAAAAGCUUCUGCGGUUGGAUGGCUAAACUCUCUGCUCCUGAAGCAUUUGACAGAGAAGAAUCUAGGGACAUAGAGGGAGAGGGCAUACUAAAUGAGCCUGUCUCUCCCAGAACUGUGCAGAAUUAGACCCACAAGCACAUCUUAUGGCACAAAAAAGGCUCAAUAAAAUGAAAUCCCCUAACCAAAACCCUUGAUACAUAGGAUUUUUCUUUUUCUAUGUUGCCUUCUUAUGAAAGAUGAGAAGGAUUUUUUCUCCAAAACUGACUCCCAGAGUACACAUGGGGUUCACACAGCCCAGUCUCUUAUACUUCAUUUCUAUACCUGUUGUCCUUUCAUGAAGCCUGGCAUUUCCUGCCAUGGUCUGCAGAUACUGCAAGUCCUCUAUUACAUAAACAAUCCAUUUUUGUCACAAUGGCAAGAAAGACAACAAACACACUAAUAUCUUGAUUCAGGUUUGAAACAAAGGGUCUUCUGAUUCUCUGCCAAGACCUAUGACUCCUCAAUCAAUCCCAUCAAGUGAAGCUCUGCACAUUCACUUCUAUAAAAGUAAAUCUAUGUCUUGUAAGGAAGAGGCCAUUUCAAGAAAAGGUUCUUAGAUGCUAUAAAAAUCAUUGCCAUGGGUCCAGGGAGCACCUUACCGAACUCCACGUCAGAAAGGUCUCCCCCAUUGGGAAAGUCUCGAGAAGUGUUCCUAGUUGACAGCUUGCUGCCACUCGAUCGGGAGUCAGAGGCACAAGCUUUGGCUACUGACUGUACCAGAUGCUCAUCAUCUGCAUUUCGCCAGCCCCACCAGCUAACCUCUGGCUGUCCACAGCGGGCAAUGACAGCUCCAUUGCUCUGGUGCCUGUGUGAGGAACAAGAGACAACAACUGUACCCAUUCAGAUGCUCUCUGUACUCACACAAAAUAGAUUUUAAGUGCCUUAAUGAACAAUCUAAUUCUAGGUAAGUGUUGGGUCAGCUUCAAGUCCUCUCAGUAUUAAAGAGGGUAGAAAUCUUACACAACCAACAAGAACAAACAACAAAACCUGUGUGUCUUUCUCAAUUACCAUAACAUCACGGAGAUCCCUGUAAAGUUACCCAAAAAAAUGACUAACGGGGUCAGGCAUGGAGGCUCACUUUGCAAUCCCAGCACUUUGAGAGGCUGAGGCAGGAGGAUCGCUUGAGCCCAGGAGUUUCAAGACUAGCCUGAGCAACAUAGCGAGACCCCAUCUUUACAAAAAAGUUUUUACAAAUUAGCCAGGCAUGGUAGCACAUGCCUGUAGUCGCAGCUACUCAGGAGGCUGAGGUGGAAGGAUCCAUUGAACCCAGAAGGCUGAAGCUGCAGAAAGCUAUGAUUGUGCCACUGGACUCCAGCACUCCAGCUUGGGUAACAGAGCAAGACCCCAUUUCCAAAAAACAAAGAAGAAUUAAUGUGUACUCUUAGUGAAAAUAUAUCAAUAUUCAUAACUUACAUCUAUAGAUACUACACUAAUUCUGCUACCCAAUAGUGAAAUCUGCUACCUUUUUAAUGCUGAACCAAGAGCCCGCCUCUGGGAAUAAAACAUUUACCUGGCCCAAAGUGAACUGCUUUACAAAAUCUCCUGAGAUUUCAUGAGUCACAAACUGCUCUUAUAAUAGGCAGAUAGCUCAAUGAGCCAGCUACCCUUUCUAGGGCUCUUAGAAAGAGAAGAGCAUCAACUUCAGAAAACCAUACUCUGACAUAUCCUUUUCCAAUAAGACAGACCAGAAAUCACAGUCUACUUUAAAGUGCUAUUAAAACCCAGACUUUUCCUAAUUAGGCAAUUUUAACCGAUAAAAAGUUAGAAAAAAUUCUAUUACUUGGCAGUAAAGAGGAAUAAAGUUCUGAUACAGGCUAGGACACUGAUGAACCUCAAAUAUGUUAUGCCAAGUGAAAGAAGUCAGUCACAAAAGGCAACUUAUUAUAUGACAAUUAACAUGAAGUAUCCCGAAUAGGCGAAUCUAUAAAGACGGAAGUAGAUUUGUGCAUGUAGUGACUAUUAUAAACUCCUAGUUACUUAAGGGAGCUUGCCUAAUUCUAAGUUGGGGUUACUAAAACGAUUAUGUUUCUAUAUAAAACUGAAGCACUCUAUGUUUUAGUAGCAGGGGCUUUAUCCAAUGGACAUCUUAAUUAUUCAGGGCUAGGGUGGCUGGGUGCCCUGUAAAUGGGUUUUUUGGGACGAUGAAAAUGUACUGUAAUUUGUUUUUAAUCCUAAAACUCACAAAUAAGUUAAAUUUGGCACUAAUCAAAUUCCACUGAAAUCACCAGUUUGCUUGUAGUUUUUAAAUCCUCCCUCCCUGGGAGACAAGUAGCUGUAAGUACUUGUGUAUUGCCAACAUGCUCAACUGGCUCACGUGUUGAAUGGGGCCAAAAUAGAAAUAAAACCUCAAUGAUUCUUUAUAAAAUGCCUCCUAGCAAAUAACAGGCACUGGGCAACCACUGAGCUGAAUGACUCCAAACCUUGCACAAGAGGCUGGUUGGGCCUUUCCUGAGCAUCCUCCUCUUCUUCAAUGCUUCCCAGCAGUGCCCAAGAGGAGCAGUAGAUGGCGCUCUUCAGCCUGGAUCUUGGGUUUUAGGGGCCACUGCAUUAUAGUAGCUAUUAGAUUUCAACUGGGCUAUUGCAAUAAACAAUUAUGUUUUCUGCAGUCUUCUAAAAUGCUUCAUACUACAUGAAAGAUAACUCAAACACUACACUUAAAAAUCACUAAAGGAAUGCAUUUCUAUCACUAACAGAACCAGGCAAAGUAUAAAAAUUAUGAUGUCCAACAGAUAAAGCCCUCCCUACUAAAACACAGAAUGCUUCAAUUUUAUAUAGAAACAGAAUUGUCUUAAGUAACCCCAACUUAGAUUUAGGCAAGCUCCCUUAAGUAACUAGGAGUUUAUAAUAAUCACCACAUGCACAAAGGAAAAAGCUGUGAACUGCACUACAGAUGGGCGCCCUUCACAUCAUCUUGCUGUGUUAGAGCAAUCUCUGCCUUCAGUUAUAAAUCCAAUUAAGUGCUCUCUCAUCACAGUAGGACAAAGCUCUAAUCAAGCGCUGGUUCAGCAUGGUGCUGUCAAGUAACUACUGCUGGCAACCUCAGGAAUCAUGACCCAAUCUACAGACAACGAAAUUCAGGAAAUGGAUGUCAAGAGUUCCAGGCAUCCUGCCACCUAGGCUGGCAAAGCAGAGCAUGGUGGAGGAUCUGAUUCUUCCACACGCCCUUUACAAAGCUCCCAAAUAAUACAGCAACCCAGUUUGCAUCUCGGCGAUACAAGACACAUGUUCUGAGACAGAGCCCAGUUCCAGGAAACCUGCCUGAUUUUGCAUGGAUGACUACACCAAGAACUUUAAUUUGUGAUCUUUUGAAAGACUUUCUCUGAAAAACUGCAAAUAAAAUUUUUCAUUUAUAUAUCCCCUUGUAUCUCUAGAAAAAGGGGGGAAAAACCUAGGGUGCAUGCCCCCUCUAGAAUAAAUUUUAGAAGGGGAAAAAAAGGCUUCCCAUUUUUAUUACAUUCUAAGUUUUUCUUCAACCAGCCCUCUUAAGCUUCUCUUCCCAAAGGGAGAAUUCACCUAAAGCCUCUUAUUUUGCAAAUGAGAGUACCUUCCCCGUUUUGGUCAAAGUCAGCAAGCCCCAAAAAUGCCAGGGCUGCUGACCUAACACAGCUGUUGGCCAGAGCAGCAACUGGCUGCUUUCCCCAUUCCAGCUGAUCUGAUCAUUGAUAAGACUCAUAAAUCCCUUCAGCUUUCACUACUCUCUAGUUCCUGUAGCAUCCUUACCACUUGAAUGAUAGGUAAAUUUGGUGACUGACUUUUUUAGGGGUGUCUGAAAACAACAGUGAUGAGAAUUGAGAUUAAAAACGUAACGAGUUCCACUGGGCCAGAGCAAAUACUUUUCUAUCUCUCUCCAUUCAGAGUGGGCAUCAGAGUUUGCCUUUAGUAAACUAAAUGAACAAGCUGGUUACCUCUGUAGGAAUUCCACAAGGAGACAAAUCCCUUCCUACAAUCUCAAUAUUUCAGUGGAAUGAAGUUUCUAACUGUAAGCCACUGGAUUGGCCCAACUCAGGGAGAGUCCAAAAAGCCGGCAAACUGGGAAAAUGAAAUGGAGAACGUAAACAUUACAAAGAGAUGACAUCUGAAACAUUUCCAGAAUAAGAAGGAAGGACUUCUUUAAAAUUUAAUAGGAUUCUGUGAGAACUGAGAUAUUCACUGAAUUAUAAAAGCAGCACUCAAGAGAUAUAACCUACUCCAAAUGUUGGUACAGAAGCUCAGUGUUUAUAGGCCCUCAUUUAGAACCAGAACAUAUCUACAAAGUAAGAACUACCAUUCCCAUUGUAUUCAUUAGGAACAGACUGAGGUCAGUUAGGGAAUUUAUUCAAGGUGCCUUAGCAAGGAGUGUAAGAAUAUACCUGAACUCAGAUCUGUGAUUCCAAAAUCGGUGCUCCAUCACCAUGCCACCAUCCCCAUCUAGAACUUGCAUCCCAUGGCUCUCAGGCCUCUGAUCACUGCAAUCUUCUAUCUAGUCAUGCCCCAGUCUUCUCUAAAUGCUUCCUCUCGAAACAGAGUUCUUCCACGUGUCAAAGUUUCAACCACAAAGACAAUCAGCGUUAACUCCACUCUAUAUUCCCAAUGAUCACUUUCUAAGACUCAUCUCUCAAUCCAAAAGCCCUGCUAACAGCUGAAGCUAAAUGCUUAGUAAGCACAUUAUCUUCUCACAGAAUGUAAGAAGGAUAUUGAAAUACCAAGUCCAGCCACUUUACAACUAAAACUUUCUUAUCUGUUUCAAAUGAACGACCAGCUAGUGUUCUGAAUGCAGUCAGUACUGAUGUGUUACUGGAGGAGAAGCUUUAACAAUAAGGAAGUACAGCCUUGCCUAGAAAGUUCUCUGAACUCUCCCCACCCUUCCCAGGUUAGCAGCAGCAGAGGCAGCAGACCCUAUGCAGCAGGCAGCAGCACCAGCCCAAGGUGGGACUGGUCCAGUUUAACUUACCUGUAGACGACGGCAGGGAUGCGCUUCCAGGACCUGAAACUUGCUACACUUUCUAGUUCUUUGUCAGUGAUCCAGGCAGGCACUAUGAGCUCUUGAGGAUAGCUACCACAUAAUCUAAAGAGAAGAUGAGAAGUGGGGAGAGUCAAGGUUAGGAUAAGAGAGGGAGAGAGAAAAGGGGAGAGAGAGAGACACUAGGUGAGCCAGCAUAAGGAUGAUGAUCUCACUGCCACAGAGCCAGUUAAAGGCAAUGAGGCGCUUUAUUCGAGUUUUGGUCGUCUCAACAGAAUGGGUUACCAUAAGUGUGUUUUGUUUUGUUUUGUUGUCUUAAAUGUUUACUUAUGUGUAUACAACAAAUGAUACUAUCUUGGAUUGUUCCACUUGAUGCUACCUUUUGGGAAUCUGGCAAUCUUAACUAUCAAUGAAAAAAAGGAGAGUCGAGGGUCAGUCUCUUUAUACUCCAUUACAACUCUUCUGCUGUAACAAGUACAUAGGUUAUCUCUAACUACAUGAACGCCCAGUCCAAUUACAGAACUGAGAGUCCGUGUCAGUUCUACCAGACCCUCAGGGAAGGACAAAAGCCCACAAUUUCAAGUUUCCAGAGACUUCACAGGAUUAACUCAUUCUUUGAUUUGAACCAAACAGGGUGUCAUCCUUAUAGGUAACAGGUGCAGCCAUCGGUAUGCAAAACCAACACAAGCCAGCCUAUUUGCAUACACAGCCUCAGUCCCAUUGAACCAGGUUAGUAAUGUGACUAAGCUAUUAACCAUAAUUUCCAUAAAACAUACUUCAGAACAAAUUAUACUGGGGGCGGGGGGAUAAGCUUUCUUUUAAUUAGGGAAGAUCCUAGCUACAAUCAAGCUGGUAUCCUGGGAAGCAAUACUUCUGAUAGAUUUUUACUUACAAGACAAUGUCUCUCUCUGGAUAAUCCAAUCUUCUUUUUUCAAUAGUGAAGGCAAUAAGGCCUUUAAUCCAAAUCCUAAAACACACAAACUCCACCAACACCACCAACCCCCUGCCCUAGCCUAUCCUAUACAUAGGGGAAAGCGCAGAAAAACACAAAAUGGCUUAGGAGUUGGGGGUUUUGAUCAUUUUGCACUAAAUCUCUCUCUCCUCAAUUUCCAGAAGAUUAAGUCUCAGGAAUUUAAAAGCCACUGAACAAAGAGAAUGGCUAUGACUAAGAGUAGCUAUACAAACUUCCUAACACCUAUUUACAAACUCCUAAAAAUAAGCUGGGAGCUGGUAAUGAUGGUUAGUAUCUAACCAUGAAUCUCAUUCCCUUUAUUAUGUAUUAAACUCAAGAGUAAACUUGGCUCUCACUCUUCCUUUGUAGUUUCAAUAUCCUGUUGUUUCCCACCACCCCCCAUUUUGUUUUAUGGUGGUGAUAACAUCCUAAAGACUGGUUCUGAGGUAUAACUGGUAAACUCCUUGAGACAGUUUUGCUCUCUUACCCCGGCUAGAGAGCAGUGGAGCGGUCAUGGCUCACAGCAGCCUCACAGCAGCCUCGACCUCCUGGGCUCAAACAACUCUUCUACUUCAGCCUCCCCAGUAGCUGGGACUACAGGCAUGCACCACCAUGCCCAACUUUUUUUUCUUUGAGACGGAGUCUCGCUCUGUCACCGAGGCUGGAGUGCAGUGGCAUGAUCUCGGUUCAUUGCAAGCUCCACCUCCUGGGUUCACGCCAUUCUCCUGCCUCAGCCUCCUGAGUAGCUGGGACUACAGGCGCCCGCCACCACGCUGGCUAAUUUUUUUGUAUUUUUAGUAGAGACGGGGUUUCACUGUGUUAGCCAGGACGGUCUCAAUCUCCUGAGCUCGCGAUCCACCCGCCUCGGCCUCCCAAAGUGCUGGGAUUAGAGGCAUGAGCCACCAUGCCCGGCCAAAUUUUUAAGAAAUUUUCUGUAGAGAUGAGGUCUCACUGUGUUGCCCAGCCUAGUCUCAAACUCCUGGGCUCAAUCAAUCCUCCUAUUUUGGCCUCUCAAGAAGUUAAUUUUUAAAAUCCGAAUUAGGGAUUAUUUUCCAACAAGUCUGUCUUAAUUCACAGUUUUUUUUACUUGAUCUAAUUUUCUAAACAUUCUGUUCAUUGUCCUAUAGGUACUACACUCCCAGUAGUCAGCUUUUCAGUAUGCACUACCUACUUACUUGUGGAUAAACAAUUUCCAGUAUAGGUUACACUCAGGAAAGCCUAAUGCAGCCACAGGCUCUCUGAGGCCGCCCCCUCAUCCAGUAUUCACCCUCCUUCUUUGCUUUGACUCGUCACUGAGAAUAGGCAAAAGUAUAAAAAGUCUGCAGCUCCCAACUCUUCCAAACACCCUGGGUUCUCAACUCCCUGGAGAAGGUGCACAUUAAGAACUGUGAAUAGCAAUUAGCUAUAGCUUUUCCAGUGAAAACUGAAACACUCUGACGGCUAGCCACAAACAGACCAGGAAAAUGGCUGUCAUAAUUUGAGACAGCUAAGAGGACCACAGAAUGAUUAGUGAUGCAGGGCAACGUAGGAGAAGGAUUUAUUUAUUUAUUUAUUUAUUUAUUUUAUUUAUUUAUAUUUUUUUUAAGACGGAGUCUCGGUCGGUUGCCUAGGCUGGAGUGUAGUGGCAUAGUCUCGGCUCACUGCAAGCUCCGCUUCCCAGGUUCACGCCAUUCUCCCGCCUCAGCCUCCCAAGUAGCUGGGACUACAGGCAUGCAACCACGCCCGGGUAAUUUUUUGUAUUUUUAGUAGAGACGGGGUUUCACCGUGUUAGCCAGGAUGGUCUUGAUCUCCUGACUUCAUGAUCCACCUGCCUCGGCCUCCCAAAGUGCUGGGAUUACAGGCGUGAACCACUGCGCCCGGCCAAGAAGGAUAUAGUUAAAGAUUUAAGAUAUUUAACUAUCCUGGACAAUUUUGUUUUAUAGAAAUUUGGAUCACCAAAAUCAUAAUAGUUAACUGUCCUCCCCCAUCAAUGCACUUACACAUUUUAAGGAACUGGGUAAUGGCUAAAUGGUUACAUUAAUUUUUUUUUUUUUUUUUUUUUUUUUUUUUUGAGACAGAGUCUCACUCUAUCACCCAGGUUGGAAUAUAGUGGUGCAAUCUCAGCUCACUACAACCUCCACCUCCCAGGUUCAAGCAAUUCUCCUGCCUCAGCCUCCCAAGUAGCUGGGACUACAGGCAUGCACCACCACGCCCAGCUAAUUUUUGUAUUUUUAGUAGAGACAGGGUUUCGCCAUGUUGGCCGGGCUGGUCUCAAACUCCUGACCUCAGCUGAUCCGCCUUGGCCUCCCAAAGUGCUGGGAUUACAGGUGUGAGCCACCAUGUCCAGCCAAAUAAAGGUUACGUUAAUAUUUAGUGGUUAAAUGAUCGUAGCAGUGAAGUUGGUUUUAGAUCAAUAUAUUAAAGGACAGAAUAAUACAGAUUGAGCAUCUUUAAUCCAAAAAUCUGAAAUGCUCCAAAAUCCAAAACUUUGAGUGCUGACAUAAUGCCACAAGUGGAAAAUUCUACACCUGACCUCAUGUGAUGGGUCGCAGUCAAGUCACAGUCAAAACUUUUCAUACAAAACAUCAUGCAUUAAAUUAUUUAAAAUAUUGUAUAAAAUUACCUUCCAGCUUUGUGUAUAAUAUGUAUACGUGACAAAGAAUUUUGUGUUUAGACUUGGGUCCCAGGCCCAAGAUAAUCUCAUUAUGUUCAUGCAAAUACUCCAAAACCUGACAAAAAUCCAAAAUCUGAAAUAUUUACAGUCCCAAGAAUUUCAGAUAAGGGAUACCCAACCUGUACUUAUGUCUAUUUCACACCACCUGGAGUAAAAUUACAGUCAUAAAAACUAGUUCAUAAAUUUCUGUCACUGCUUAUGAGACCACUGAUCCUCUCUCUAAUGUGAUGCCAAGUGGUGAUGAGAAAAAUGGUAACUGCCUGCCUACAGGCAAAUACAAUAUUAUCUAGACAUGCAUGUACCAGAAAAAACAGAGGACUAGAGGGGGUAAAAGGGAAGGUUCUAGGACCCUGUUAAGUAAGGAUCACUUUCCACUCCAAUGAUAGCAAUGGGAACAGAAGAUUCAAUAAAUACUCUGAAGAUCAUGCCUUUAGAUUUAAUAAAUAAAACCAUCUCAAAUAAAAAGUCUAAGUUCAAAUGUUCUGCCACAUGAGAACUGCGGUUUCUGCAAAGGCACUGGCUGUGAAACAGUCCACAGGGACCCAUAUAACUCACUUGUACUUCUCAUUGAUGUUGGAAAUCCUCCAGGCGUUGUUCAUAUCAAAACCCAUCCUCUCCACCUCGUUUUUAAACCUUGAAGUUACAUGCUCCCCUAGAGGCCAAAGAUAAACAGCAGAAAGGAAGAAAUGAAUACCAUUUUGCAAAACAGGUGGAAUAAAAACAAAGAAAUAUAUAUAUAUAAGCUAUAUGUAAAUAUAUAUUUUUUUGAGACAGGGUUCCACUCUGUCACACAGGCUGGAGUGCAGUGGUGUGAUCUCAGCUCACUGAAACUUCCGCCUCCCAGGUUCAAGUGAUUCUUGUGCCUCAGCCACCCAAAUAGCUGGGAUUACAGAUGCAUGCUACCACGACUGGCUAAUUUUUGCACUUUCAGUAGAGAUGGGGUUUUACCACAUGGGCCAGGCUGGUCUCGAACUCCUGGCCUCAUGUGAUCCGCCCGCCUCAGCCUCCCAAAGUGCUGGGAUUACAGGCGUGAGCCACUGCACCCAGCCUGUGUAUUUUUAAAGGUAGGAAUUGUAUAAAUAAUAAAGUAACAUAUAUUAUAUAGUUUUAGUUUAGAAAGAUCCCUGUCAGGUUAAGAUUAUAAAGAGGAAAGAAACUAAUUCUGAUCAAGAGUUAUGUUAUCUCAUCUAAUCCUUACAAUCAACUCUGAGAACAGUAUCACUGAGCUCAUUUUACAAAGGACAAAAUUAAAACAGGUUAUUAUGGCAGGCCUGUCUGGCCCCAAAACCCAUGCUCUUGUCCUACACUGGCUACUUGCCUACUUCCACACUCAGACUGACAGUACACUUAAUAAGAAAUAAAAUCAAUAACAAGAUCACACAAGUAGCAAUACAGAACUAUAAUUCCUCAUCCAAAACCCUUUGGUCCAAAUUUUAGAACUUGAGUUUUCCAAACUUUCGUUAAGGUAAGACAGUGCAUAUAUUAUAAUAUUAGGCUCACAUGCUUAACAAGAUCUCCUUAAACAAAUAUUAAUAUUUCUUUCGUGAAAGGUAUUGAUCAUUCAUACCAGGUGGGAUAGAUAAAGCAACAAAUAGCCUCAUGUCAGCUCAGAUCAGGUCCAGCCAAGACACCAAAUAGGGUAUGAAAAACAUUCUGGUUUCCAGAGCCUUUUAGAUGAUGGAAUUGCAGGUUAACAGGUCAUGGAAUCAUAACUGCCAGCCAGGAAUCUCAGGAAAUACCAUACUACUAAGUGCUUAUUAUUUGCAAGAACAGCCACCCAAGCUGGUAUAAUCUGGCUAUAUUUGCCCUAAUGAAUCUGGCUUUCUCUUCCUUAAAAAAGCAAAACAGAGGUAGAAAUGAAGCUAACAUAAAUUCAGUAAACCUAAAAUAACUUUCUUCCUUGAAAACAUACACAGUCCUAGGGCAGUAUGUUAUUUUAAAAAAUAUUAAGCAGCACCUCUAAUAUAUAGUGGUACAAGUUGUAAAAUAAGUGCUAGCAGGGCUGGAAGAAACCACAACAACAAAAGCACAAAACAGACUUCACUUUGGUGUUCAAAGUAUAAAGCUUUGUUCUCCCUGGGAGAAGAGCUACAGAAUAGGAAACAGCAAUUACUUGAAUGGAAGACAAUUCUGUUAAACUACUUCCCAUUUAAACUGCUUUUCUUGAGCUCAAGCUAGGUAUUACACAUUUCCUGAAGGAGAGCUAUAAAAAGAUGAGAUUGAGAGAAGAUGAGGUGCAAGAAAAAAUAACAGCUAAAUCCAUCCCAUUUUGGAAAAGUUUUAGAAGCAAUGUAGCAGGCUUCCAAACAGGAAAAAACUAUCUGAAUUGGGGUGCCAUCUGUCUACAAAUUGCAAGGAAUAUUGACCAUCAAGAAUACCAGGCCAGACGUGGUGCCUCACACCUGUAAUCCCAGCACUUUGGGAGGCUGAUGCAGGCAGAUUGCUUGAGCCCAGGAGUUCAAGACCAGCCUGGGCAACAUGGUGAAACCCCGUCUCUACAAAAAUGCAAAAAUUAAGUUGUGGUGGUACAUGCCCUAUAGUCCCAGCUACUUGAGAGGCGGAGGUGGGAGGAUCACCUGAACCUAGGGAAGCUGAGGCUGCAGUGAGCCGUCAUCACACCAUUGCACUCCAGCCUGGGCAACAGAGUGAGAGACCCUGUCUCAAAAAAAGGGGAAAAAAACAAAACAAAACAAAAAAAACCAGACAAGGAGUCUUUAAUUCAUAAUCCCAAUCUAAAAGCUGCAAAACUGUGGCAAAUUCCAAGUUCAUUAAGAGAUUUUUUCCCCCGACUCUGGGAUAUAGCUCCAAGUCUUUGCAAAAGGUAAAAGUAUUUCAUUAAUGAUUUUUUUUGUGCUUUUCCUGAACUGUACAUUAAUGAUCUUUUACAUUAAUACCUCUAUCUCAGGAUAAAACACAUAGAUACCCUAAAAGGAUCUUGUGAUUUAAAAAUAACCACUGGCAAAAUAAUAACAGUUAACAAUCACUAUCACUAGCAAUUUACUUCAUAGAACCAUUUCCCAAAGAAGGACUUAGAACCACCAUCCAGAGCACAACAUUCUGAGCUACACGCAGAAAUAUAUACUGACUAGCAGGUAUAGAAAAUCUGUUAUUUCGAGUUCUUUGAGAAUGGGAAUGAGUUUUAAUUAUUUUUAUAUCUUCUAAGGCAGUGACUUCAUAAACUUUGAAACUGACCAUCACAACCCACAAUAAGAAUUAUGUUUUACAUCACAAUACAACAAACAUGUUUUAAUUUAUUCAUUUUUUGAGAGACCGGAUUUCCCUCUGUUGCCUAAGCUGGAUUUGAACUCCUAAACUCAAGCAAUCUUCCCACCUCAGCCUCUUGAAUAGCUAGGACUAUAGGUAGACACUGCCCAGCUAAUACAACACACAUUAUUUUUUUUGAAAGCAUUUCACAAAACAAUACCCACUCUUACUAUGUGUGUGACACAAUUUGAUAUUUUCUAUUCCAUUUCUUUAAAAUUAGAUUUCAUGACCCGCUACUGGAUCAUAACCUAUUUGAAAACCACAUCAUUACAUACAUCAGGAAUUCAAUCAGCUUUUGCAAAUUGUGUGAGAUGUUCACUCACAUUUACUUAGCCAGAAAAAUAAACACAAACACAUCUAUUGCUGGAUUCCCCUUAAAAAUUUCCAUCUCAGAAUUCUCAGGUUUCAAUCCCUUCAACAUUAAAUACAUUGUGAUAUCCCAACUUACUUUAAAUACUGGGGCUAUAAGGUUUUUGUUUGGCUUUAUAUUUCCAUUUCAACCCUUCCUAUCUGCCUUUGUCCCUUUUCAGCAUUUAGUAUUUCUUAUACUAAAAAUAAUACAGUCCAGCAAUUUUCAUUUUACUGGAAAUGAGAACUUUCUUUUUAAAAGCAAUGAAGUUCCCUAACUCCCUCUAUCAUAAACACAGUGUCAAUCAGUGAUCUAAAAAAAUUUUCCCCCAGAAGUCUAGCUCCCUGGCUGAUCCUGAGUAUUCAAGCCGACAAUUACACACAGCUUAAAAGGCCUAGGACAGAAGGGACAGGCCUUUACCUGGCAGGUGAGGAAGCAGACGAAUACCAGAGUCAGAGAAGGUAAGAACUACCUCUUAGCAGAUUUGCAAAUAUGGAGAAAGGAAUUAGGCUUUUCUAUGUACAAAGGUCACAGUAAAUCCUCUAGAUGCAACUUCCUGGACUGCAUUCAAACCCGGAAGACAGAUAAAUAGGCAGCUUCACAGCAGUGUUAAGACCCAGAGUCAUAUGCUAGUCGUGGAUAAACAAGAUGGGCUUAAGGGACAUUUCACACGACAGAGGUUAGAGAGGUAGGCCUGAUGCUACUAAACUGGCAGCUAAACUGCCCAGUCAUCUGUCAGGCCUCCAGAUUAACACUCUAGUACAGAGCCAUCAUCAACAAGUCAGUUACAAUGAGGAGCAGGAAGUUAAGGACAUGGGAGAGAAGCUUUUAGCUUUAAGUCCACUUUUUUAGAGUUUGAGGGGCUAAGAGAAGGGUCAAGAAUUUGGCAAAGGCUUCUGCAGGUUUCACAGGUAAACUCCAACAGCAAUGCUGAAACUUCUUCCAAAGCUGAUUAAGCCUUAGAGCUGUGACCACAGUAUGGCUGGCUUAACGAUGACUGGUUCAACAGCCAGAAACUAAGAUUUACAUGAAUACUAAGACAAUUACGUAAUUUUCUCAUUUCCCUCCUCUCUGAUACAUUCUACUUCUAGCAGGCUAGGUAGAGAAGACUCCAUAAAAGGCUUUAUUAACUGCUAUAAGAUUAAACUAACUUCCACCCCUCAGAGUCUACACUUGUGAUAUCAUGUACUGGGGCAGAUUAUAAAAAGGCAUGACUUUGAAAUAUCUCAAGUGUUGUCUCAUCCUAAAGAUGACUUAUAAGUAUGUGGUUGUCUGGUAUGCUAAUAUUUGAUGAGUAAUGCUAUAUACACUGCCACUGCUCAACAACAUUAGGUAAUGACAAAAGAACCAGGUUGACUGGAUGUCCUCGAGGUGUUUUUUUUUUUUUUCGGUUUGUUUUUAAUUAAAACCAAGUUUUUUCCUUUGUACUCCACAGUGAAUAUACAUAAAAGGCAAAAGCCAUACAUACACAUACAUUCAACCAAGUCACUGAAAUACAAGAUCCCAUGCUGAGUGGUGGCAGGUUAACAUCAGUGUGGACUGUGUAUACUGGGAAGAAACAAAAUGCAACCCUUACUCAUAAUCUCUAGCCAAACAGUUAUGAUUGCAUUACCUUGUAGUUGCAUAAUUUCCAAAGUGUUUUCAUAAGCAUGGCACAUAGGGGGCACUUAAACAUUUACUGAAUUGAACUCUGCAGCAUUAACAGAUUUGAUCUUCAGGAUACCUGGAUCAGCCUGGGCAGGAAGAGCAUGAAUGUCCCAGUUUAAAGCACAAAGGAAACUAAAGCAUAGAGAGCAUAAAUUCUUCGCCCAGUGUUCUUUUUUUCAACUAAAUCAUAGAGUAUGCAUUUAAAUUCAGGUUUCCUAAUUCCUAAGUCAGUACUUUACCCCUCACACGCCCUUGCAUCACACACCUACAAAAAGACAGAGAACACUGUAGACAUCUUUAUGUCCUGAUAGCCAAAGAAUACCAAAUAUCAUCAGGAAGGGGAAGGGUCUGGGGACCAAAGUCAUCCCACCUCAGGGCAGAGCCACCCAUAAUUAAAAGACGAGACCGAGGUACCUCUCAGGAAUAUCCUAAGAGUUUGCUCAAAUCUAAAAGAAACUCAAAUUAUCAAGGGACUAAAAAAGCUCUCCUAAAAAGAUAAGGACUUUUCAGUCUGUGGUUGUGAGAGGACAGGAUAGGAGAAAGCAAAUCUUGCUGAGUAAAUGCUGGCAACCCAAAAUUAGGGAAUACCUCUUGGAGUCAGGGGUCUUAAACAAAUUGAAGUUCUUAUAUAACAUAAUGCAGUAGCAUGCACUCAUCAAGUUCAUUAUCCUAGGAGAUGGUAGAAACUAAAAAUUUAAUAAAGAAGAUGCAAGGGUUAAAAACUCAGAAAUCGUACAUGUAAGAUUUGUACACAUCACUGUUCGUAAACUUUCUCUUUAAGAAAAACCCCCAAACUUGCAAAGAGCCAUAAAAAAUGAAAAAAGGUAUUUAAAAUGUGAUGGCAUUUCAAUAAAGAAAAAAAAUAGAUGUAACAAUUGGAGUGAAGUGAGAGACAGUUUAAGCACAUUCUCAUAAACUUCCAAGGUUGGUGUAGUCUCUCGUAGGUGACAGGAUUCUGCUAGCCUGGACACGCCUGUGAGAAGCUGGGAUUCUGAGGCUUUCCCUGAGGCUCCACGAGGGCAGGUGCUUUUGUUUUUCAAACUCUGUAUCCACAGCAUCCAUCAUGGUCAGGUCUGAAUAACUGAGAACUGGUUUUAAGUCCUAGUUCUGUCGUCAGUGACUAGCACUGGGACUUGACAACAGGCUUUUUACCUCUGAGCCUCCAUUUCUUUGGCUCCCAAAACAGACACCAACCUAUCUUGCCUGUUUGACAAGGUUAUGAGGAUCAAACAAAAGUAUUUAUCAAAGCAUUGUUAAACAUAAGAUAAUGCUAAUGCUACAAGCAUUUUAAAAGAACAAGAAUGUGAACCAGAAGCUUCAAUUAGUGAUGGGGCCAGAGAACAAAGUAACACAAGCAUAGCAAGAUUAGCCUCAAAUGUUUAAAAUGACCCAGGGCAGACUUAUAAGAUUGAAGAUUCAGGAUUAAAAUUUCAGGUUUCUAGAAAAAAGUCCCAAGAGUAAACUUUACUUGAAGGAGGCUCACAACUUUUCACUGCACAGAAAUUUAAGACUCCACUUUGAAACCUGACACACUAAAAGUCAGUGUUGGACCAGCAAAGUUCUAUCUAUGACCACAUAAAGAAACUACAUGCAGACAAAUAACAUGAACUUGGUCAAAGCCAUUUCUGACGGAGAAUGACAGUGAGGGGGACAAAGACUAUAGAGGAGUCAGGAAGCCUGGGUUCCAGAACAGGCUCAGCAUUUUUUGUUUGUUUGUUUUUGACGGGGGCGGUGGUCACAUGUUAAAACCCAUAAUCUAGGCCAGGCACAGUGGCUCACGCCUGUAAUCCAAGCACUCCGGGUGGCCGAGGCGGGCAUAUCACCUGAGGUCGGGAGUUCGAGACCAGCCUGACCAACAUGGAGAAACCCCGUCUCUACCAAAAAUAAAAAAUUAGCUGGGCAUGGUGGCGCAUGCCUGUAAUCCCAGCUACACAGGAGGCUGAGGCAGGGGAAUUGCUUGAACCCAGGAGGCGGAGGUUGCAGUGGUCCGAGAUCCAGCCAUUGCACUCCAGCCUGGGCAAGAAGAGCGAAACUCCGUCUCAAAAAAAAAAUAAAAAAUAAAUAAAAAACAAACCCCACUAUCUAUUUGUUCUUGAUAGGCACCUGGCCUCUCACCAAUGACCUCCUAUUCAACUUUCAAAGCUGAUUCAAAAGCCACUUUAAAAUGUGAAGUCUUCCCACACAUGUAUACAAAACUCAUGGCUCCUUUCUAUCAGGCUCCCAUACUAUUCAUAAAACUUUAUUAUAGUUGAGCUGUUUUUAGGCCCAAUAGAUUGUGAUGCCUUCUAGUGUUCUUCCCUUCCCCAGAAGGCAGAAAAGAUGUUCUAUUAAGCUUAAAAGAAUGCUAUGCACUUGCUAGGUGCUCCUUAAAAUAUACACUGAUUGAUAUAUGAAUGCUUAGGUGUCCCAUUUCAUGUUAAAAGUGCCUCCAUCAGUAGCUUGAUAAAGCCCCUGGCCAUUUGCACAUUUCAGAAAGGCGUACCUGGUCUGCACAGGUCUCCAUGUUGCUCUUUUUCACUAGCAUAGACCUCCAUGCACCAAGCAUGGUAUGCAAAUGAGAAGAGAUCUUCUAUUUUAGCAGGCGGUCGGAUUGCGUUGUUCAGUCUCUUCAGCCACUCUUGACACUGCUCAAAGGUUGAAAACUGACACCUUUUGUAAAGCCAAACAAGUAUGGAUGUAAUCAGAAGACAGUUGAAAUGAAAUAUAAGAAAAGCCAUUAUUUCAAGAAUGCCCACUCGUAGUGAAGUGGGAACGACAACCAAGAAAGCAUCUGAGGCAGUCAGUCAUUCGCAUGCUCAUUAUCACUUAUAAGAAAAACAAAUGUUAGCCAAUGGAACAAAAUGUCCAAAAGAAGGAAGCUAUUGGAAAACCUAUUUUUUUAGACUAAUGAAAUCUCUUCUAAGAUUAAUGACAAUUAUUACAGAAAAAUGGCAGCUAUUCUCUUUCAUGAGUGGAGUUUCAUUCUACUUCUUCCAUCAAAGUUUUAUGGUUGUCCCUCAUAAAAAAUGUUCAGAAAAAUCUUUUUUGUUUUGUAGUAACAUUUUAGAUCAAGUUUAAAAAAAAAAAAAAAAAAACCCACAGCAUUAUUUUUAGCCAGUUAGGGAGUAAUUUCAAUAUUUAGUUAUUAGGACAAAUCAGAACCAAAAGACAGAUUGCACUGAAACUUUCAGCUAUGACCAUGUAGAGAACAAAACAAUUCUAUUGUCAACUGCAAUUUUCAGUAUAUACAACUAAGGAGUUAAAAUAAUUAGUGAAAACUAAUUUAUUAAAGAUAUGUUUAGGCUGAGUGCAGUGGCUCAUGCCUGUAAUCCCAGCACUUCGGGAGGCCAAGAUGGGCAGAUCACUGGAGGUCAGGAGUUCGAGACCAGCCUGGCCAACAUGGCAAAACUCCCGUCUCUAAUAAACAUACAAAAAUAUUAGCCAGGUGUAGUGGCAUGCACCUGUAAUCCCAGCUUCUCGAAGGCUGAGACACAAGAAUCACUUGAAACAGGGAGGUACGGGUUGCAGUGAGCCAAGAUCAACACCACUGCACUCCAGCCUGGGCAACAGAGUGAGGCUUUGUCUCAAGAAAAUAAAUAAAUAAAAAUAAAGAUUUGUUUAAAUAUUUGGCCUUUUUGAAUGCAAUGUUAAAAACUGACUAAUUAAUAAGCAACUACCUUCUUAAACUGUGAGUUGUAGCCAGUAUCUAUCAAAAAUAAGCCAAAUCUCAUGGACUAAAAAGCGAUAUCUUAAAAAGCAGUUAUCUUAAAACCAAGGGAUCACUUAAACCUCUCCCUCAUCCCAAUCACUGUGGCUCAUCAAUAUGCCAACACAUAAUGUUUACUGACACCCCAGAAGAGGUCAGAGGAAUGCAGUAAAAACUUGUGGAAUUUAAGACCUCUAGAGCUAUUAAAUUUAAAAAUGCAUUUCAGGCAUCGUUGUUGGUUUUUGGUUUUUCAGAUGGAGUCUUGUUCUGUCACCCAGGCUGGAGUACAGUGGCGUGAUCUCAGCUCACUGCAACCUCUUACCUCCCAGGUUCAAGAAAUUCUUCCGCCUCAGACUCCCAAGUAGCUGGGACUACAGGCGUGCACCACCAGACCAGCUAAUUUUCGUAUUUUUAGUAGAGAUGGGGUUUUGCCAUGUUGGCCUCAAACUCCUGACCUCAAGUGAUCCACCCCUACCUCAACCUCCCAAAGUGCUAGGAUUACAGGUGUGAGCCACCACACCCAGCCUGCAACCAUUAUAGUUAAGUGCAGAUACAAAUCAUCAAUGAAUGCUAAACUUAUGGAGAAAUUUUUAUGAGAAGCAGGGACAUUUGCAUUGUUUCAAAGUGCCUCCCCCAGACUUGUUUUUAGUUGCAAGAGAGAAAAUGCAGAAAUUAUGCAGAAGCCAGGUGACAUCUCAACUGGAAUAAUCAAACUUAACAUCACCAAUGAAGGACAUGUGGACACUGUACUUCCAGAUGUAAUACAAUACCCUGAAAAGGACAUGACAUCAUAUAUAUACAGUAUUCCAGUUGAGAAAAUAUAACCUCAAUUUAAUUGAGGAAAUACUGGGCAAACACAACAUGAGAAGUAUUCCAUUAAAACAAAAGACUGUAUUCUGCAAAAUGUGAAUGUCAUAAAAGAAAGUAAGGCUGUAGAAAAUGUUCCAGAUUGGCCGGAUAUGGUGGCUCAUGCCUGUAAUCCCAGCACUUUGGGAAGCCGAGACGGACAGAUCACGAGGUCAGAGUUCAAGACCAGCCUGACCAACAUGGUGAAACCCCGUCUCUACUAAAAAUACAAAAAAUUAGCCGGGUGUGGUGGCACACGCCUGUAACCCCAGCUACUCAGGAGGCUGAGGCAGGAGAAUCGCUUGAACCCAGGAGGCAGAAGUUGCAGUGCGCUGAGAUCGUGCCACUGCACUCCAGCCUGGGCGACAGAGCAAGACUCUGUCUCAAAAAUCAAACAAACAAAAACAAAAAGAAAAUGUUGCAGAUUAAAGAAGGCUACAGAGUCAUGGCAGCUAAAUGCAAUAUAUGACCUAGACUGGAUUCUGUACUGAAUGAGACGGAGGUAAGCGAGAAUGCUAUAAAAAAGUAUCAAUAGGUCAUUAGGUGAACUGACAAAAUUGGAACAUGUAUAGUAGACUGGAUAUAAGUAUUAUCAAUGUAAAAUUGAAAAUUGAUGAUGUUAUGGUUAUGUAAGAAAAUAUCCCUAUUCUUAGGAAAGCACACUAAAGUAUUUUGGGGUUAAGAGCCAUGAUUAUGUAACUUACUGUCAAUCUGUUCAGGAAAAGAAACACACACAGAGACACACACAUAUAGAGACACACACACACACAGACACACACACACACACACACACACACACAGCAGGCCUCUGCAAAUAAUAAAGCAAAUGGUAAAAUGUUAACAAGUGAAUCUGGGUGAAUGGUGUGUACUGAUGUUCUUUUUAGUAUUUUUAUUUUUGCACUUUUGUAAAUUUAAAAUUAUUUCCAAAUUUAAAAAAAAAACAUCUUUCAACAUAGCAAAGUAUACAUCCUACAGAUAAAAUAUUUCAGGCACAAACUACUCUGAAAAUAUUCCUAAUGAGGCUAAUCAUCAAAAGGUAUUUUACUAAGUUACCAAAUAAUGGACCCAUUCUUUAAAAAAUAUUUUCCAUGCUAAACAGCAACACAAACAUACCAUACCACAUACCUGAUAACUUUGCAGUCUUUGCAAGUCAAAUGAAGCUGAAAUAUAUCUCGGCAUUCAACACUUUCUAUAAGCUGUAAUGGAACCUGCAAUUUAAAAAAAAUGAAGUCCUCUUAGUCAAAAAAGGCACUGACCCUGGAAUUCUUCAAUGUGUCCAACAAGACUAAUUAAAAAGAUCUAUAAGGGAAAGCAACAAAAAUAGAACUGCAAACUUAUCUGGAUCAACAGUACUCAAGUGAUUUACUACAAAGUGAAUUAGGACUUCCCUUUCUCUCUAAAUCAGUGGUCUCAAGUCAAGUCAUAGCAUGAAGGCAACAAAGAGGUGGGCACCACCUUUGGAAGAAGGGGAGAAUAUAUCUCUCAGGCACUGAAUUCACAAGAUCAGAGUACUACUUUUAGAUGCUAUAACUGACUAUGAUUUGCAGUGAUGCAAUGACAUAGAAGCUGAAGGGAGCCAGACCAGUAAUCUUUUCUUGCUUAUAGAAAAGAACUACAGAUCAGAAUGCCAGUGGGAGACUACUGUUUGCCCCAAAUGACAGAGUGGGCUUACGGCUUAGUGUCAGCCAAUGAGGCUCCUGAAAAAGUCUAGAGUUCCAAGCUGACUGUGGAUUGCACAGAAAAGACAAUGAGGCAAUAGCUGCUGGCCAGGCUCUCUACUAAGUAGAAUAGACCCAAAAGUAUCAAAAAGGAGGGAGAAGGCCAUACAGUGAUCAAAGGUGCUAAAACUAUAAUAACUAUGUCAGAUUUGCUUCAAAAGAUCAGUUAGGAGCCCUGUCUGCCAAAUGGGGCUUGAGGUUUGAACAAGCUGGAAUGGUUCCCCCUUGCCAAUCUGGUCUGCAGACUCUACUGGACACAGGAUUAUGUACAACAGCAGAUAGAGAGAAGGGAGACAGAUAGAAGCAAAAGCAUCUAGAAAGGGUGCCAAAUCUUCACGACAAUAUGAGGAGCCUCCUCCUCCUGUCCGUCAAAUCAUCUUAAUUCAACCCUUGGCUUCAAAAAGCAAUUUCUAGGCUUUCAAGGCAAACCUGGUAAAAUAAUAGUGAAUACUUUUACUCCUUGAAAAAAGGAGUGAGCCAUUUGCCUCUUACAGUGUAUCAAGUCUAGCCAAAAUGUGGCUCUGGGAGUUGCAAAUAGCAUUCCAACAACUUGUGUUUAGUAUGCAAAGAGGAGGGCAGUCUCCUCCAAUGCAGACAGAAACAAGAGUACUGUCUGCAUAGGCUGGCCCUCGUGUUAGCUGAGCCAGUUUCAGGAACAAGCUUCCUGCAAACUCUGCCCCACCACAGAGCUGCCAGUCAGCAGAGAACUCUCAGAAUGAGGAUGCAGGGAUCAAAAAGAAGCCUGGUGCUGGACAAAGAAACAGAAACUGGGGCAGGGGUUAAAGAAGAGAAGAAAGCAAAAUAAUAUUACUCAGAUAAAUGACUGGGAGUUUCUACCUUAGGACUAAAGUCUUCUUGCUUUUAAGUCUACAGUCUAUGAAAAUUCCCUUGCAAAUGUAAUAGGACUGGGGGUCGGAAAAAAGACUAAGAAAUCUUGGCCGGAUGCGGUGGCUCACGCCUGUAAUGUCAACAUUUUGGGAGGCCGAGGUGGGCAGAUCACCUGAGGUCAGGAGUUUGAGACCAGCCUGACCAACAUGGAGAAACCCCAUCUCUACUAAAAAUACAAAAUUAUCCAGGUGCGGUGGUACAUGCCUGUAAUCCCAGCUACUCCAGAGGCUGAGGCAGGAGAAUCGCUUGAAUCCCGGAGGCAGAGACUGCGGUAAGCUGAGAUCGUGUCAUUGCACACCAGCCUGGGCAACAAGAGCGAAACUCCAUCUCAAAAAAAAAAAAAAAAAAGAAAAGAAAAAUCUUGCCUGUGUUCUGAGAACAAAAGGAGCUUUUGGCCUUCUGUUUUUGUUUACGUCCUUAACCCCAAGGUGCUGUGAGAAACUGCAACUGAUGCAACUAAGAAUUCUUCCAAGACCUGUGCAUCUAAGAAGGAAAAAAAAAAUCCUACAAUUUAUCAGAGAUAAAACUAUAAAGAAGAAAUAUUGAGAUUAAGAAGACAGAUUAGAAGACAACUUUGCUUUGUUCUCAGGCCAGUUCUCUGGGUACCCUGUAACAGACACUGCUUUUUAUUUUGUAUAUACUCCUGCUAACUACCUUACUCACUAUAUCCCCCCAAAAUGUGGCUGCCAGACUGGCAAUUAACAGGCAUGAGUUCUAAUCUCAAUUUUCUAAAAUGUAACCAAUUAAAAUUUUGCCGGCUUCAUUGGGCAAGCCUCCAGCCUUCCCAUGUGCCAUCAGCCUCUGCUUUCUGAACCUUGGUCACAACUAAGGAAAUCUCAGGCAUGGGGCCUGGGAAGAGUCUGGGAUAGGAUUAGAGUGAGCUUUACAAAUCCACAUGAAGAGGCUGCUCUUGCAGCAGUCACCUGCAUCCCAAGUCCCCUGCAACUGACUUUAUUUACGGACAGAAGACAUGAAAACCAGCUAAUGCUCUCAGCAGCUGCUGGGGGAAAUGGAUUAGCCUUUGCUACUUUGCUACAAAGAACAGGUAAGUUUUACAUCCUUAUUACUAAACCAGAGCCCAAUGGCCUGUGCCCAAACUUAAUAUAAUAAAAUUAUCUCAGAUCACGCAAACAUUUGCUACCUAAAAUUCAGGCAAUAUAUACAUUUUUUUUCUGUAUUUUAACAUCGUAAAUUUAAGAAAAAAGAAUUAAAAUGUUGGUUCUAUGCAUUGAAAUCAGACUGCAGACACUAGCAAGUCACCAAAAUCAACCAUGUGUAUUACAAGUCACAGAUAUGGAGAACAGCAGAUUUUAAUAUUCAUGCAGAUUGUCACAUGCAGGAAAGCUUAACACGCACAAGAAUAGGGACAUAUAAAAGAGAAACACCUGAUUUUUAUAACAAAUAUCUCCCUUUUCUUCUCCUUUCUACUCCAGUGUUUCCCUUCAGCACUUCCUCCACAGAUUGCCUUUUCUUUUUCUUUUUUUCUUUUUUUCUUUUUUUUUUGAGAUGGAGUCUUGUUCUGUUGCCCAGGCUGGAGUGCAAUGGCGCGAUCUUGGUUCACUGCAACCUCCACCUCCCAGGUUCAAGCUAUUCUCCCUGCCUCAGACUCCUGAGUAGCAGGCGCCUGUGAUCCCAGCCACCACGCCCAGCUAAUUUUUGUAUUUUUAGUAGACAUGGGGUUUUGCCAUUUGGCCAGGUUGGUCUCGAACCCCUGACCUCAGGUGAUCCACCUGCCUAGGCCUCCCAAAGUGUUAGGAUUAUAGGUGUGAGCCACUGCACCCAGUCCAGAUUGCCCUUUCUAAAAGGCAGAAUUGGCCUUCUUUUCCUGUUCAUACCUCCAUCCAAAACAUACUGUUUCUCUACUUUCUUAAGGCCCACUCCAUUGCUUUAGGUUCAAAUUUCCUCACAUACGAAAAUGAUCUCUUACCAUUUCUGUAACUAGAGAUACCCUAUAUUCAACCUCAAAAGCAAAUUACAGAUUCAAGAGCCAGUCCACUUUACAGCCCAGGAAGGUUAAACUACUACACUAUAAGCUAGUACAGUAGUAAAGUCAGGACCAGAAUCCGUGUCUGUCCUCCAGCCUGGGCUCCUUCCACUAUACAUGGUGUGCCUUUCUUUCUGCCCCUACACUUGAGCUUCUCUUCCAUAUGAGCUCUACUUUAGUUUUUCUUUCACAAAUAAGUAGCUUCUCCACCAGGGAUCUUCAAGAGAAAAAUAGAGUUUAAAUCAAAACUCCUCAGAUGCAAUUCCUUUUGUAAAAGAGUAGCAAGAUAAACUCACUUUCAAAUCCUCUCAAACGUACUGAUUCAAUGUCUUGUAGCAACUCAUUUUCUUUUUGCUCCUCUCUCCUCUAUCUCUCCACCUGCCAGGUAACGCAAUCUCACCUUACAAUGCUUUUCCUAAUAUGAAUUUCACCAAACUCAUGCUCAAACAAUGCAUCAAACACAUUCAGUGCUACAACCAAUUCCUCAAAAAGCCAAAAGUUACAUUAUAGACACUAAUACCCUUAAGAGCAUCAAUCCAAAAAAAGCAGAAGAGCAGCAGUUUAAAAAUUUAACAGACAUGCACGGGUUAUGUCCACAGUACUGUCACAUUCCAGAGGGAACUGAUGCCAUCAUACCCUACUAUAUUUACCUCAAUUCAUUCUGGGUGUGUGUGCAUACAUGUGCAUUAUUUUUAAACACCAGAAUCUAGAGUGGGAUAAUUCCUACCUUUUUAAAAACAAACACCCUUUUUAUAGCCUGAAUGGGAAGUACUAAUCUUGUACACCUGAAGUUAAAAUGGCAGUAAAAGAGUAAAAAUAAUGAGUCUAAAUCUAAAAUCAGUAAUAAAGUGGAAUAUCUGGGCACAAAAAUCUUUCCAUUUAAAAACUAAUCAGGGCCGGGCACAAUGGCUCACACCUAUAAUCCCAGCACUUUGGUAGGCUGAGGCAGGAGGAUCACUUGAGCCCAGGAGUUCAAGACCAGCCUGGGCAAUAUGGUGAAACCCUGUCAGUACAAUAACGUAACAUAACAUAACAUAAUAAAAUAAAUAUAAUCAAAUAAAAAAAAAUAAAAUAAAAAAUUGACUGCAGUGGCUCACAUCUGUAAUCCCAGCACUUUGGGAGGCCAAGGUGGGUGGACUGCUCGAGCCCAGGAGUUUUGAGACCAACCUGGGCAACACAGACAUCAUCUCUACAAAAAAUAAAAUUAAAUUAAUUGAACGUGGUGGCAUGUGUCUGUAGACCUAGCUACUCAGAGGGUUGAGGUGGGAGGAUCACCUAAGCGCAGGAAGUUGAGGCUGCAGUGGGCCAUGAUGGCGCCAGUGCACUCCAGCCUGGGUGACAGAGCAAGACCCUGUUUCAAAAAACAAAGAACCACCAAAAACUCACUAAUCAGCAGAAGAGACUGUCACUGGUUUAAGAUUCAAACUCUAUUGUUCACCUUUGACAAUUUACAAGCCUCCAGCACUGCUUUCGGAGGCUCCCACUGUUAUAUGAAUGCUAGAUCAAAGUGCAUUAAAUGUUAACAAUAACCUCCUUCGCAGCAGGGUGUGGUGGCUAACACCUGUAGUUCCAACACUUUGGGAGGCUGAGGUGGGAGAAUAACUUGAGCCCAGGAGGCUAAGGCUGCAGUGAGCCCAGACUGUGCUAACGCACUCCAGCCUGGACGACAGAGUGAAACUCCAUCUCCAAAAAACAAAGUGAAAGAAAAAAAAAAAAACUAGUGUUGAUUUUACAAAUUAUUUCUAACAGAAACUUGUUCUACAUUUUUUUGAAGGUCACAAUUCCAUCUGCUUAUGUAUAAACUGUAGGGCUUUUUCCUUACCCUACAAAUUGUUCACAGUAGCAUACAACUAGAAUUUGGUCCAGUAAGAGGAAAAGGACUCAUGCAAAGGGGAAACAUUCUGCUGAUUUGCAAGGUAAGCGUCUAACACUCAAAACCAAUUUGCUCCAAGCACAGGUGCAGCAACCACCUAGGAUUUUCAUGCUACUUACUGGGAUUUUAGAAGCAGCAGAUUGAGAAGCAGUCUAUUAAAUUACAAAUAGACACACACACACACACACACACACACACACACACUUUUAAACAUUCAUGAAUUCCACUUGAACACUUAACUUGUUUAUAAGUUAUCUAAGCUUCAAAGAACUAUGUCUGUAAAUAUAUAAUAAUUUGAGAAAAGCAUAGAAUAGGAGCAAUGUAUACCUUAAAUGCUACACAUAAACUCUACUACAGAGAUUCUUUACCACAGGAACUGGAACUUGAUAUUCAGUGAAUGUGUGAAUUAAAGUAAUGACGUUUAUGGUAUCAAAACCUACAGACAUAUUUUACUCAAUGUGCUGUGAAAUUAAAAGAGAAUAUAUGAUAUCAGGUAGCUAUUUAAAACUUGAUGGUAAGUCAUUUUCUGAAGUGCUAAGUAUUUUGAUUUAAGCAUACAAAAUUAUGAACUGGGGCAUGCCACAACAUAUACUGGUAUGUUUGGGCUUUGAUGAUUUAUAAAGGUGUUUGAUAUAGAUAAAAUAACCUUUAAAGAGAGCCUCCUGAUCUAACAUAUUUUAUGGAAAUACACAUAUUUUAUUGAAAUAUUUACUUGCUAAAGGGAAGGAAAGAGGGAGGGGCAACACCACUACCAACUGUCUGAUCUCCAGCCAGGACCCGAUGCAGGAAGAAUCCUUGUUUCCUAAGUACCUCCAGGUUUCAGGUUUCAGGAAUCUCUUAGCACUAGCUGUGAUGAAAUUAAUUUAUUUUUAUGGAGGAGUUCUAGUCUCUCUCCAUCUGAAAAUUUUUUUUUUUUUUUUUGAGACAGAGUCUCGCUCUGUCCCCCAGGCUGGAGUGCAGUGGCGCGAUCUCGGCUCACUGCAAGCUCUGCCUCCCGGGUUCACGCCAUUCUCCUGCCUCAGCCUCCUGAGUAGCUGGGACUGCAGGCGCCCGCCACCAUGCCAGGCUAAUUUUUUGUAUUUUUGGUAGAGACGGGGUUUCACCGUGUUAGCCAGGAGGGUCUUGAUCUCCUGACCUCAUGAUCCUCCCGCCUCGGCCUUCCAAAGUGCUGGGAUUACAGGCGUAAGCCACCGCGCCCAGCCUCAAUCUGAAAUUUUUAAAGUCACUGCAAUGCCAAAAUACUUUUACGCCAUCAUUUUUCUGUACAAAGCCAUUACCUUGGUUUUUUUUUUUUUUUUUGACAGAGUCUCCCUCUGUCAUCCAGGCUGGAGUGCAGUGGCGUGAUCUCAGCUCACUGCAACCUCCGCCUCCUGGGUUCAAGUGAUUCUCCUACCUCAGCUUCCUGAGUAGCAUAUGCCACCAUGCCCAGCUAAUUUUUGUAUUUUUAGUAGAGAUGGGGUUUCACCAUUUUGGCCAGGCUGGUCUUGAACUCUCAACCUCAGGUGAUCUGCCUGCCUCAGCCUCCCAAAGUGCUGGGAUUACAGGUGUGCAUCACUGCACCCGGCCUACCCUGGGCUUUUUAAGUAACAUGUAGGCUCUAUGCCUUAGAGGGUUAUGAUGCUAACAGAAAAAAACACUUUCAGAUUAAGAAAAUGGACCAAAAGAAAGAACAGUGGCAAGUUUCCUUAAGCAUUAUCUCUCAAUCACAAUGGGGGAUCAACAAUUCCAGUCAACAACCUACUCACACAGCUAUCCUUAGAGACAAUUAAGACACAGCCUAUUCACACAGAAAUGUACUGUUUUAAAAUGAGCUUUAAACGCCAAAGGGGGAAAAGGUUCUAAUGCCCACUUCAAACCCACAUUAACUUCAAUUCAUUUAAUAUUUACUGAAUAUUGUGGCACCAGGAGACAAUGCUGGAUCUUGAAGAUACAAAGACAAUUAACCAAAAAUUACAACCUAUUUGGUAAACGUUAUAAAGGAAUGUACGAGAUAAAGACAAAGCAAAGAAAGAGUGUAAUUAACUGUCAUAGAGGGAACUGGGACUAAGAAAGGCUUCACAGGAGAAGUUAUCACCUGAACUGAAUUUUGACAGAUGAAUAGAAGUUCCUGGGCCAAAAGAGAACACAGAGGUGUGAGGUAUGGCUGAAUAGCACAAAGAGGCUGCUUUUACAAGUAAAAAACGUGAUAAUGGGGAAAGGAGGGAAGCUGUGAUCCUUGGUCCCUGCCACGUUGUCAAACAGCUUCAUGUCAUGCUAAACAAUUUGAUCUUCAUCAUAGAAGUAGUGAAGAAACACUGAAGGGCUUUAAGCUGAUGUCUUUCCUGCUUUCUUUCCAGCAGACCUUAUUCCCAAAUAGUUCUAAAAAUAGUCUCUGAAACACUUGGCCAUCAACCAAUAAACUGAUAAAUACAGGAUGAUAUGAGAAAAUGCAAUGAUAUGAAACUAUCAUUCUCACAUGCAAUUUAAUUAUAAUUUAAUUCCAGCAAUUCAAACACUGAAAGAACACAAAGUUAAAUUGGGCAGUUCUACUAAACACUACUAUCAUUACUUCCACAGUAGCUGGUGGGGAAUUCUUAGUUGCUGGGAUUUUAUAGGUGUUUCCCCACUUUCCCCUCCCCAUCACGACUACUCAAAUCCAAGUGGACCCUUCUGAACAGAGUGCUACAUAGUAUGAAAGAACAGCAUUACCUCUUUCCUUAAUGAAUCUGGUGUGUAUCUUUAGCUGAUAGACAGAAAACUGAUGUAACUGCUAUAAUCAUGGCCCAAACCUACAAGCCAGAAGGGAUUCAGGCCAAAACUGCUCCUAGACAUAAAUGCUUAACUACAAAGAAGAAUGAUGAUAAUAAGUAAAAAAUGUCAACUACCAAAAAAAAAAAAAAAAAAAAAUGACAGCCACUGAGUCUUUUUUAAUUGCUGAGUAAAAUGAAUGAACAAUAUAUUUCAAAGAAUCCCAAAAUGAACCCAAAACACAGUCUGCAUAGAAUUACAGUCCUGAGCUGUUUUAACGUGUCAUAAUACACUUCUCUACGCUGGAAGUGGAGUGUAGAAAGCCACAACACUGGCAAGUAAAGAAGGAAGAAGGCAUUUGCUGUAAGUACAUGAAUUUUCAAGCCUUUGUUCGUUUCAUUUAAGGCUAAUGAUAGCAGAGCACUGGAAGAACCAGUUCACUGAGAGGACAUUCAUAACUGAAAAGGGUAAAUGUACUCUUGAGAAUCAAGAGCCUUCCUUUUCUUCAGUAAUACAUAGUCCAUUAUGCAAAUAAACAUUAUACUUAACAUCUACACUUAUACCACCAAGGAGUCAUUAGAGUAACUUCAUGCUGUAAUGAGAGUCUGCAGUGAGCUCAAAGUACAUCUCAUCAUUUGACAUUAAGGCCCAGGGAAUUAUCUCAACUGAGGCAGUUGGUAACUACUAAAGAUUGCAGAAUAAAAGCCUAUUCAGCCUUUAUACCUUUAUAAAGCUUAAUGAUACAGCAUUACCUAAUGCAAAGCAUUCACUGUUAACUAAACAAUGGACACCUCAGCUGACAACUACACACAUCAUUUUAAAUCAAGCAUAAGACCUGCUUGCUGACCUAGUGUGUUUUUGUUGUUGUUUGUUUGUUUUUGGGAUGGAGUCUUGUUCUGGUCACCCGGGCUAGAGUGCAGUGGCACAAUCUCGGCUCACUGCCAGCUCCACCUCCCGGGUUCACGCCAUUCUCCUGACUCAGCCUCCUGAGUAGCUGGGACUACAGGCGCCCGCCACCACGCCCGGCUAAUUUUUUGUAUUUUUAGUAGAAAUGGGGUUUCACCAUGUUAGCCAGGAUGGUCUCGAUCUCCUGACCUCGUGAUAUGCCUGCCUCAGCCUCCCAAAGUGCUGGGAUUACAGGCGUGAGCCACCGCGCCCGGCCGACCUAGUGUUCCUUGAGUGCUAAAUUAAGUGAGAAAAGCAGAGCACAUAAUGCUUUUCUCUCCCAAUUCUGUAUGCCUCUCCUCUCUUUGAGAGCAUUAAGUUUUUUGACUUCCUUUCUCCAUCUACCUUAGAGGGAGAACAGUUGCUAAUCACUUACAUUAACAAGAGACUCCUUGAACUUGAUGUGAAGUCUGUAAUUGGAAAGGGCAAUGAUGGCAUCCUCAGCACGGCCCACAAACUCUGUGCUCUCUCCAUGAAGU